AUAGGUAAGGGUACAAGGACAGGUUCGUCUACAAGUCCACAGAUGUAGUGAAGGACUUGUGAUGGGACAAAUUGCCGAUGUAUUCACAAGCAACGACCCCCAAUAUGGUGAAGAUGAGGUUACCGAUGGUCGAGGUUGUAUUCCACGUCCCCACUAUAUCCAUAUGCCUAUACAAACAAAAAUUCAGGUUUGACGUCUUAUGUCUCAUCAAUGUGUGGCUGAUGAUAGGGAAGCCGCCAACCCUAGCCCCGCUGAAAAGAAGGUAGCGAAAAUUCCUUCCAAGGUGGAUAUGUACUUCCUCCAUCCCAAAAUUAUUGUCAUUCUCGUUUCCUGAUAAAUCAUUCACUUUUAACUUUGACCAAAUAUAUACAAGAAAAUAUUAAUAUUUAUAUUAUAUAAUACAUAGUUGAUUAAUUUUCAUAAUAAACUUAUUUGGAGAUGCAAAUGUUGUUAAUAUUUUUUUAUAAACCUAGUCACACUUAGAAAAGCUUUGACUGACACAAAUAACAUAGCGACACUUAUCAUUACUGGUUUUUUUAGGGAAAAAAAGAAGGAAAGAAAGAAAGAAAAAAAAAAGGAAUAAAGCAUCCAUGUCUGAAGCGUAGAUACAGUGGCGGAGGGAAGGGGGGGCUGAGGGGGGCCUGGCACCCCCCAACCUUCCCAUAACUCCCUUAAUACAUCCCAUAAAUUAGAUGCUGAAUUGUCUAAUUAACUAGUUAUUAAUAAUAUUAUCUAUACUAAGAUUUUUAUUCUUAUUUCAUAUUAAUCUCUAAUAGUUUUUUAUACAAAUAAAAUCUAGAUCUUUCUAAUAUUUUCUUCAUAUCUUUUAUUUUUAUUAUUGUCUAUCAAACAUUAGUUUGUCACGUACUACAUACUCUAAUUAGCUAGUUAAUUAAAAAUCAGUGUUUUUCUUGUUUAAUCCUUCUGAAUUGAUCCCCAACAAUAGAAUCUAUAUUAUUUAGCAUUAGUCUUCCUAUUAUCUUUCUUAUCUCCUAAGUUUUUAUCAUUAUUUGUCUAAACUCUAAACGGUUAUUUAGCUCGUGUACUCAACUUUUAAACACUAACAGUGGUAUGGUGUUUCUGUUUAACCUUCUAUUUUUGACCAUUUUACCCGUUUAAGUGAUCGUCUUGGCUGAGGCUAAACGACAUGCAACUGAUUGUUUGUCAUCCAAUGUUAGGAUCUAGUGCUAAUUAAUUUUGCCCCUGUUUAACUACUUGUUUUAUUGUGGUUCUUUUCCUGGCCAAAGAAAUAGAUUGAUUAGGUGAAGGUUAGAGGCCUGAGUAAUUAAUUUAUCUUUAUUUUUUUAGUUUUUCUUCUUGUUUUUAUCGUGACGCAAACGUUUAUUUUGCUGCUAUGUACACCUUUGUCAUGUAAUAUUUUGAUAUACAUAACUGUUCUUGGUUUGCACGGCCCUCCCUAUGUUUAAAUUCUAGCUCCGCCCGUAGAUAUGGUCAGCCGACUGCAUGCAUGCAACACGUAACGCCACCCCUGUUGUUGGUUGUUGCUGGAGGAAACAAUCUCUUCUUCCUUUUAGGCCUUGUUUAGUUCCAAAAAAUUUUGCAAAAUUUUUCAGAUUCCCCGUCACAUCGAAUCUUUAGACACAUGCAUGAAGUACUAAAUAUAGACAAAAAUAAAAACUAAUUGCACAGUUUGGUCGGAAUUGACGAGACAAAUCUUUUGAGCCUAGUUAGUCCAUGAUUGGACAAUAUUUGUCAAAUACAAACGAAAAAGCUACAGUGUCUAUUUUGCAAAAUAUUUUGGAACUAAACAAGGCCUUAGUGAAGGCAACAAAAUGAUUAAUCAUGGUAUUAUAUUAUUGGCCUAAAGCUGAUCGAGAUAUGUACAUACUACUGCAUUGGCAUCAUCAUUGCCCAUCUGAACAACUAAAGAACAUCCCUGUAAGAGGAAAUGGUUGCACAAAAGCUACUGUAAGAUCAGGCCAUGCUGGCCGGCCGGGCAGAGGCUCCUGCAUUGCAGGCAGAGGGAGAGGGGCAGCCUGGAGGAGGAACGCCACAGUCCCCACCACACCAAACCAUGAAUGCACGGGGCAUUGCAGGCAGAGGGAAGAUAGGUGCGGCUGCAGAGACAAGGCAGCGGCACCAAACCUGCUGUGCUAGCCACCUUGCUGGUUUCGCUGAGGCAGCUCGUGGUUUAGAUCUUGUAUUUAACAAUUCGUCCCACAAAUAUAGGCCUUGUUUAGUUCACCAAAAAAUUUGCAAAAUUUUUCAAAUUUCUUGUCAUAUCAAAUCUUUAGACGUAUGCAUGGAAUAUUAAAUAUAGAUGAAAAUAAAAACUAAUUGCACAGUUUGGUCGAAAUUGGCGAGACAAAUCUUUUGAGCCUAGUUAGUCCAUAAUUGAAUAAUAUUUGUCAAAUACAAACGAAAGUACUACUAUUCCUAUUUUGCAAAAUUUUUUGGAAGUAAACAAACAAAUUGUACAAUUAAUUAUUUUCUUAAUCUAUAUUUAAUGCUCCAUACAUAUGCCGCAAGAUGCGAUGUCACGAGAAAUUUUGAAAAUUUUUUGAAUUUUGUUUGACCUAAACAAGGCCUCAGCAUGCGCACUGAUAGGCAGCCUCCUGUGCAUCACAUGACAGCUAGCACCGGCAUGCAUACAUGGCAAGCGCCACAACCACAAAGCCGCGGCUAAUCAGACCAGACGAAGAGACCAGCGGCGGCUGGUCACACAUACAGACAAGCAUUUCCGAGGAACUAUGUGUUUUCAGACAAGGCAACGAGCGUGCCCACGAAUCUUGAAAAGUUCAGGAAAACAACAAGUGCAUCUGCAAGCAGAGCAAACUCCUAGCCAUGGCUGUUGCUUUCAAGUAGUAGCUCGCAGUGUUACUACACACAGGAAUUUGAUGCUUUUUCCCAAAACUCAACAAUUACUACUUACAAGAUUAGCAGGGAAAACAAUGAAGAAGCGGAUCUAUUAGCUAGACAGGCUCUGACCCUUACUUCAGACAUUUUGCAGCCUUUCCAGGCUUUCUGCUCAAAUGUAACACAUGACCCUGCCCUGUUCUUCAAGCUCUGAACAUUGUAACCUUACCCUCUGUACGGUUACUUACAGCUUCUUGCUGUUCAUAAAUGAAAAUUUGGUUUUCAUAAAAAAAAAGAAGCACCAGCUAGUAGUCACCUACAAGCUCCAGUUCCAUGCCGUGUACUGCAAACCCGGCCACCAUCUUCAGACAAUCCUUGAGCCAUCUCGAUCAUUUGCUCGCCUCCAAACAACCUGAAGCUGUUAAAAUGUCCAAGAGUGCACUGAAGUCAUGUUUCAAUAAUACACUUUCUGACUUCCACGGCAUCCAAGUUCAAUGGUAAGGAGUACUUACACUAAUACAAAUGUAGGUUACAUGGUUUGAGAGGAGUACAAUAUUAGUGGAAUAUUUCACGCUACAUCCCUGUUACAGAGUGCUUGAUGAAUAAUUAAAGAGCAAAAUAGCAGCCAUCAUAUUUACAUAUGCAUCUGCAUAAAAAAAUAUCUAGGAUGCAGACUACAUUUCCAUAAGCUAGAAUAACUACUUUCCCCUUCCAUAAGCCGGGGAAAAACUCAUACCAAAACAAACAAAAAUUGGUAUAUCGCCAUUUUUAAGUUUCCAUGGUGAUACCCUGUAACUUAAAACCAGCCUUGAUUGCCCAUGAGUCUUUUAAGGAGGCCAGUGCUGAUCUUUGAAGGCCCUGAUGCAUUCCACUGUGGACCUGAUGCUACUUGACACGCCCUUCCCCAGCUUCGGCAGAUCAACUCCUCCUGAUACCGGAGGGUUGUCCUGGAACCUCAGAAGCUUCUGUCGAGAUUCUUUCCUCAAAGCCAACACAUUACCUGCAUAGCUGAUGGCAUCCCAUACCAAACUUCUGAUGAUGGUUAUGGUGUAAAAUCUUGCUGAAUCAACAGGGAAGUUACUUGCAAAACCUACAGGUAAGGUUCAGAAGGUGGAUCCGUCAUUCAUGUGACAGAUGCUUGUAUACAAAGGUUGGGGAUAGCAAUAGCAGCAAACAAUUGGGCACAGAGGCCUGCGAAUUAAUGUGCAUUAGUAAUGAUAAUAUACUAUCAGUUUUUGCUAAUUCAUGUGCACCAACCACAGUUCAUGUUAGAUUGAAGGGAAUCCUAUGUAUAAAAACAUGAACAAGGACAGGUGCAGCAUGGUUGACUGAAGAUCCCCUCCAGGGCAUGGCAACCAUGCUGCUAAAAACACAUUUGAUUUCGCCAAUUACUUUCUACUUGACCCAGAUUUUCAUUAUAUUUCUCACAAAAUCAAGUAGAAAUAUAGAACUGCACUAACUGAAACUCCCACUAAAUCCAAUAAUUAGUCCCACCAACAUCAACCUCAUGAUUAUUUUUUGAAGGGAACAAAUUAAGAACAGAGCAUAACUAAUUACCACCGUGCUCGUGGUUCCUGAUGAGGCCGUGCUGCGGCAGGCCGAUGCCGACGCCGGCGAGCGUGAACCCAACGCUGAACCCCACGCCACACCCGGCGCCGACGUACCCAAUGACCUCAGGUCCGAACCCGGGGCCCCAGCCGACACCGCAACCGAGGCCGAGCCCCACGCCCCAGAAGGAGCCGGCCGUCGGGUGCACGGGGUUCCAGCGCUGGUACCGCCCGAGCACGCCCUUGAUGAUCAUCCUCAGCUUCGCCGCAGUCUCAAUCUGGACAACGGGACAAUGGAAGCAGCAACCUCAGCAAAGAUCCGAUUUUUUUUUCCCGCGGAAAAGGAGACGAGAAGAAGAAAUGGUGGUCGCCUGCUGCCUGCAGGGGAGUACCAGGGUGGGUUGCGCAUUUGCUGCCGCUGGCGAGGCUGGUGUUGAGCUGGCCGCCGGUGGCGGCGGCGGCGGCGCGGGAGGGGAAGGUGGGUGGUGGAGCUGGGGGGAGUCUGGCAUCAGCGGACCUGCCGCUGCUGCUGUGUGGGCUGCUCUUGACUCGUGGACGCCGCCUUGCUGGAGCCCCUCGCCGCCGUCCGUGCGGUCUCCCAGCUACAGACCGAGGUGUGGCAAAUCUUAUCGCCGUCUCCUCGCCGUCGCUCGUUCUGUCCCAACCCAAUCCAGUGCGUCGCCGUCGUGGCCUCGUGCGUGGGAUGGCCGGAUGGGAGCCUUUUCUGGCAGGAAAGCGAGAGCCCGUGCACUUUUGUUCGUUUUUUUUUUCUCGGGCCCUCGACCAUUUCGGCCCAGCCCAUCUGCGCUUGUGGUUGUUGGUAGCCUCGCGGCUCUCUACGGGAGGGUUUAAAUCUUGAAGUGGAAUUUAGUUUAAGUUCUAAUCCAAUCUACCACAUGUGUUGGAGUAGAAUUUAGUUUAAAUUCUAAUCCAAUCCACCACAACACAUGUGGAUUGAUGCGAAUCCAACUACAUCGCCUUAGAUAUUAGAUUCUGAGAGAGAGAGAGAGAGAGAGAGAGAGAGAGAGAGAGAGGGAGGGUCUGGGUUUUGUGACAGUUGAGAUCAUGGAACAACUCUACAAGCAAUACACUGGUACGGUACAUGAAAAGAAACCAAAAGCCAUCCUUUCAUCGGAUUAUUAAAGAGAACAGAAUCAGAACAUAUCAACAUACAGUGAUACAGGUUACGAAACAACCUUGCUUCAAAGAACAAAAGUUCUGAAACAACCCUACACUACACGACCAAACUACUCCUGAUCAGGGGCUAAAGCACAAUGAAGUGCUGCUGCUGGUUUGCUCAGGCAAGGAAGAAACAACGGGUGUUAGAAAAGGCUCAGAGCUGUACAAGAAACCCCUAUCCCAUUCAUCGCUUGGAAUCCUUGAAGCCACCAAGGUUGCCGGAACCUGAAGUGCCGAACCCACUAGAACCUCUGCCAUAACGUGAGGAGCCUGAAUCAUCAGAGCUCCGGGAACGACCAAAGUCAGUGUUACCACGUCUGCUGAAGUCACUGUCUCCAAAGUCGCCAAAUCUAUCAGAACGACUGAAACUAGGCCUGCCUAACUCACUGGACGAUCGUCUCAAACCUCCAGAUCCACCGCGGUACCUUGAACCUGAGUCACGGAAUCCACCACUGCGGUCAGAGGAACCACCAAAAUCACCAAAACUGCUGGAACGAUGGUCUCCAAAGCCACCAUAACCUUCACGGCUAAAAGGUCCGCCCGUUCUUCUGCUUCCAGCUGAUCUAGAGCGAGUAUCUCUCGUGACAUUAAACAUGUCUGCAGCCUCAUCUGAAACUGGCAUCUUGGGAAGCUGCAAGCGGCAAAAAGAAAUAAAUGGAUAACUUUCCACAUAUCAUCUCAACUAUAAAAAUAACUUGAUCAGGAUUCGAUAUGCAUGGUAACUAAAUUACCCUACCUCUGUGAACCUGCAUCCUAUAUCUUGCUCGAUGACCCUUACAGCUCUAGUCUGCUCAUAUGUGUAUAUUAAAAUUGCACUGCCUUUCUUCCCUGCUCGUGCAGUUCUCCCAGAUCUGUGAACAAAUAACUCCGAGGUAUUUGGAAUCUCAUAAUGUACCACCUGAAUAAAUAAGGGGAAUAACUCAAAACUAUGCACAUAAAAAGAGUCAGCAGGCGUAUUUUCUAGACAAUGAAAAAGUUUGUGCGCUAAAUAUUUCUAUAAGUAUACCCCAGGUCACUUACUAGAUCAACAUUGGGUAUGUCCAAUCCACGAGCUGCGACAUCAGUUGCCACAAGGAUAUUAAAACGACCAUCACGAAAUCCUGAGAGUGUCCUCUCUCUUUGAUUCUGUGAAAUAUCCCCAUGUAGUGCCUGACAUGGAUAACUCCUUCCCAUGACAUAUGCCAAUCUAUCUGCAUCCCGUUUAGUUUGAGUAAACACAAUGCAUUUUCCACCAUUGGCAUGCUCCUAGUGAUGUGAACGUGGAAAUGGUUAUGAACUGUUUAUGGCAUGUAAAUCAUAAAACACAUGUGCACUUAAGAGGAUACUCACUUUAAUCAAAGGACCAAGAAUUGAUUGCUUCCCGAAGUUAUCAGAGGCAAUGGAAUAGAGAGAGAUUCCUUCAGGUAAUUUCUGGUCUGAGUCACCAACCUGAGGAAGACGGGAAGAAAAUGUCAGGGAAUGCCCCUUAGAAUGUAGCUAUGCUGUGCUGAGAAGAAAUCCAGAUAAAGUUCAGGUGCUGAUGGUAUUCUUUUUAUAAAGGAAAGCUUUGAUACUCAUCAGAUGGUUCAAUAAUGUUUCUACUCCCAGGAAGAUCUAUUCAAUGCAGGACUUCAAGACAAGCUAAGAGAAAGUAAGAUAAAAUUCACAGGAAAAUAAGAAAAGAAGUCACUCACAAGGUCAAUUAUAACUGGAUCAUUUAAGUACUUGUUCGAAAUCUUUCUUAUCCAACUAGGCAUUGUUGCAGAGAACAGCAUACUUUGACGGUUCUGCGGCAACUGCUCCAUGAUCACCUCAACAUCUUCAUCGAAACCCACAGCCAGCAUCUGAUCAGCUUCAUCUAGAACCACAAACUGGAUUUGUGAAAGGUUUAAAACACCCCUUCUGAGAAGAUCAAUAAUACGACCUGGAGUUCCGACCACUAUGUCAACACCAUAGUUGAGAACUCUCAUUUGCUGAUUGAUAGGCACACCUCCAUAGACACAGAGGGUGUCCAAGGGAGCAGAUUCUCUAAAUUCCUUCUCAACCUGCCGAGCAAGUUCUCUUGUUGGAGCCAAGACUAUGGCUAAAGGAUUCCUACCGUUACUGCAUGCAUCACACUAUGCAAUUAUUACAAUAUAUUCUAUCUCCCUGGUAGAUAAAUUAAAAGAACUCCAAAUGUGAAAGAGAAACAAACCCAUUCUUCUCGUUGUGACUGAGGAUCUUGUCCAUGAUAGGAAUACCAAAAGCCAAGGUCUUCCCUGUCCCUGUUCGAGCACGGCCAAUCAUGUCUUUUCCUUGCAUUGCUGGCUCAAGAACAGCCCUCUGGAUAGAAAAAUAGCAUGAACUGAAUCAGAUUGGGAACCCAGCAUAGUUAUAUAUACAGCACCUUUUCAGUGGAGCAGGAAAUAGGAGCAGAUGCAUGACAUUUGUUCUGAACUUCUGGAUCCUUCGAGUUGAUUAACAUUUAGGUCAGAACAUAUUGAACCACCAUUUUGACUUAGCAGUUUACUAAAUAGGCAGCUCAUACCUGGUGUAGGUUCAUAGGAACGAUACAGCAGAAUGACAGAGGGCUCCGUUAUACUUUAAUGAUUCCAGCACAAUAGUUCCGAGCAAUGCUACAAUAUCACAGGUUUCGAACCAAAAUCACAGUUGAAAUCAAACUAGACAUGUGUUUUUGUUCGAAUUUGCAAACGCAUCAAGAGGUUGCAGAGCACAGUAUCAGAAGCGCAGUUUACAUCAUAUCAGUAUUAUAGUACUAGACAACCCUGAUGUUACAAAACUAAGAAAUGCAUUCUCCUCCAUUCCACGAAGCGAUUCCAUGGAACUCAGUUAAAACUAGCGUUUCAGUAGCGGGUAAUUUCAUUUACAUCAUAUGAUCCUAACAACUCGGAAGCUUUUAAAAGGACGAGAGUACCAUUUCCAUUCAAAAUCAGACCAAACUGAGGCAGACGGCAUCAUCAUCCAAUUACCACGCGAGAGGCAGCACCUGGAUGGGGAAGAGCUUGGUGAUGCCCCGCGCCGCGAGCUUCUCCACGAUCCGCGGCGAGAUCCACAGCCUCGCGAUCUCCAGCCCCUCCUCAGCCCCCGUAUCCACGCCCACGCCUUCCCCCGGUCCGGGCCUGGUCCACGACGCGGGGGUGGACCUGAACCCCAGGGGGUUCGGCGAGCCGUGGAGCGCCCGCCUCGGCGGCGCCGGCGACCCUGGCGUGGGCGCCUGGCAUGGGCCGGGAGGUGCCGAUGGCGGAGAGAGGAGCGCGGCGAGGAGGGGCCUCCGGCAGGUGGCGGCCGGAGACGAGGCGAGUGCGCGGCGGAGCAGGGAGAUCAUCGCGGCGGUGGCGGUCAGUGGGAGCUCGUGGUGGAGCUAAAACCUCGACGUCGGGGAGACCUGGAAGGGAGAGGGCGAGAUUUUUCCCGUCUCCCAUUUUGUCGUGGGCCGGGCUUUACGGAAAGGCCAGGACAAAACCGGCCCAACCAUUUUUUUUUACUAAUCGGCCCAACAUAUUGUGAGGCGCGUUUAUUCUUUUUUCUUCUGUUUUGUUUGGGAAAUCUCCAACAUCAACAGCAAAGCAAGUUGGAUAUAGAGUGAAGCCUACUGACGGUCCGUUUGUGUCAUUUUCUGUUUCUUAAACAUGCAAAUCGCUCGUUUGGGUCUAAUUUAUCCUGUUGCGUCUCAUUUCACUUCUUAAACUUGCAAAUAGUUUAUCUUACCGCUAGCGCCAGUCUACAGUCUACACCGCCAACCUAGCCAAAGUGAGCAACUAGGGACAGGAUGAAACGGCAAAAUAAGUCAAGAAAAAACGAGUGAUUUGUGAGAUUAGGUAUUGAAACCAAAUAAAGGUCCCAAUGCACUUUACUCUUGAAUAUACAUCAACCUUAUUGUCUAGUAUUCGCUAAAAACAACUUAAGAAAAGAGCCUCUACUCGAGAAAUUGUAAAGCAAAACUUGUAUUAAAUUGUUAGGCUCCUCCUAAACAAAUGUCAAAAUGAAACUUGUAUUACAUUCUUGGGCUCAUCAAAGAGGAUGAACAAAUUUGCAAAAAAAAAAAAAUUGUAUUAAUUUGUUGGGCUCCUCCUCAAGAAAGAGAAAUAAACAAAUUGUAUUAAUUUUCUGGGCUCCUCAACAAAGAGAAAGAACCCUAAAAAAAGGGGUAUAGUGCUUAUAUUGUACUCAAAAAUAAGGAAAAUAAGGGGUAUGAUGCAUAUAUUGUACUAAAAUAGUAAAAAAAUAAGGGAGGUAUUCUUAUUUUUUCUUUAGUAAAAGGCGAAAGAAUAGUUCACUUUUUACCCACUAAGCAGCUGGGUGUUUUUGCUAAGAUGCUCUAAGCCCUCGUAAAUAGCAGCGCUCCGUACUGCCAUUAGCUGGCACUGGGACUAGCGAGCGCCGGCCUGUGCAUGUAGUCGUUUGGGUAUACGCUAACGGACUGCAAAUUAAGGCCUACGACGUGGAUUUGCUGCUGCUAGUCAAUGUGCACAUUAUUUCCCAUGGUCUGGACUUAUAUUUAAAGAGAGGCCAGGAGCUAGCCCAGGACAAAUCGGCCCAGCACUACUUGUAUGGCGGCAGCUAGCACUAGCCAUAUUGAUGGAUCCACCCCUCCAUUUUUGUACUUGUAUAAAAUUUUGUACCACCAAACACAUGCAUGCAACGUAACCAAAUUUCAGGUCACCUGAUUUAGCCAUAUGACCAAAAUCUGAUUUGGUCAACUAACUAGCUAGCUAGCGUCAAAUAUAAUCCAAACACACCCUAACCCGUGUUCCAUGCAUGUAUAUAUCUCGGAGCAGUAAGCAGUGUUGAUACAAGAUCGAUGGGCUUCGAUCAUAUCUAGUGUGUGAUCGAUGGAUAUCAGCUGUGGUGUGCCGGUUAGAUUAAUUAGCUACAGUAGCAUGCAUGUGUAUGUGUCUCGUGUGACGAGACUACCUCGAUCGCUAGCUAGCUAGCUAGCUAGGCGCCAACAUGCAUGCAUGCAUGUGCCUUGGCCUCUUGCGUCCAUCAUGCAUAGCAUUUAGCAAACGGGCAAACAAGAUGGAUGCAUGCAAGCAGCCAAAGUGUCGUAUACAACUGGCGGCGGUAGAGCUUGUUUAUUUUUUUUCUUAUAAUAAAUUAGCAAAUAAUAUCUUCAGACAAGCAAACAGACUUUGCAAAACACACACGGGGACUGCACCUACCACUUGGUAGACUAGCUCGUCAAUAGUCAUAUCAUUCCAUCCUUGACAAAUUCAAAUACGUCCCUUCAUCUGCUGGGAAUCAAAACAAUUUAUUUGUUGCUGCCACACAUUGGCGCAAAACAAAGAGGUGCUUGCCAGUGUUGUCACACUACUUCUGCGCAGGAGGACAUUGUAAACACAGGGGCCUGCCCCCUCCUGUUCUUACAUAAAAAGGGGAAACAAAGUCCGAAAUUACUUACCCCAAGUGUGGCAAACUAACUUAAAAUUUGUUUUUCUUUUACAGCCUCAAUCCAUCUUCGUUAAUUGUUGUUAGUUCAAUCUUAAGAUCUGUCCUUUUGGUUUCUAGAGUUUUAAGUAAAAGUUCUGUUGGGGGUGAUAGAAAACAUCAUAAAUUUUAUUUUAAUAAAUAUUUUUUUUGUUUGCCCAUUAGGCUAUUAUUGCCUUGGUUGCUGGGUGGCAAGCCUCAAUCAUUCAUCUUUUUUCAAGGAUUCGAAUGCAAGAACUCUUACAUCAACCAAACCCUCCUACCACCACACCACACAUUUACUUGUGACCAAAUAUAUGAUGUUAUCGCUUUGUAUGAACUUUUAAAAAUCAACUAUAAAAUUUUAGAUCUCAUCUAGCACUUUAACUUUUGUAAUGGAAUGUUUCCAUCUGAGAUCAUUUGAAAAACUAAAAAACUGAGAAAUCAAAAUACGAGAACUUAAAAAUGUAAAUUUAAGCUUCUAAACAAUUUUAAAUAAAACUAGUCAGCAACUAUAAAGUUUCAGGUCGUACCGAGCUCUAUAAUUUUAAAAUAACAUUUAUUUUCAUUUGUCUUCAUUUGGAAAAGAUAUAAAUCUAUUUGUUCGGCAGCCAAUCUCCCUUGAAACUAGAUACCUAGAUUACACAUGUCGUUUUAUUAUUAAGCCAACAAUUUUCUCUGGAAAAUAAUUUCUAGGAUGGUUAUUUUGCUAUUGUUAUACUAUAAGAUUUGUUAUACAAUAUAUUUUUAGAGUAAUAUCUAUUUGGAGUCAUGAGUGACGAUAAUAUUUUUUAAAACUUAAUCAGAAUUAAUAUAAUUUGACUCUACCAUAAUCUAUUCUUUUUUGAGACAGAGGUAGGACUUAAAGUACGUUUGUGAAUUGAUAGGGCAUGCAGCCUACCUAGUACAGACCCCCCAUUAGUUGGGUAGUAGCACUAGAUGCCUUCUGUUGGGUUUUGCCAUCCCAAACUCAUGCUCAUGAAUAUAAAAUAUGCCCACUAAAAACCCAAUGAUCUGUCACGGGUUUAAUUUUGUGCCCAAACCCAUGCCCAUCGGGUCACAGGUACUUAACGGGUUGCCAGUGCCCGCCACAGCAUGCCACAAGAUGGUCAUCCAGUCAAGUGAGCACGUCUACUUUAUAGCACACCAAAAUACUUAAAGUUGAAUCACUAGGCGAGGUUGGAUUCAUGUUGUGUGUUACUGCGCCUCCGCAAUAGACGUUUGCGAGUUGUGACAGAAACACUCAACUAUGCACUAGGCCACGAUCUGCUAAUGCUCAGUACUAACACUCGUCGUAUCCUUGAGUCUAGACGAACUGAGUGCAUGCACUAAGCCCCACUAGGUAACUGCAGCUUUCACAUAAGGAUAUAGUGAACAGGGUUUAAAAAACUUAUGAGUUUGCGGGUUUGGGUACUACAUACCCAUACCCAUGCUCAUAAACCCGCUGGGUCUAGCUUUUGCCCUAUUAACAAACCCACGGGUAACGAAAUUGAUCUAUAUCUUUACCUUAAUAGAGUAAGAACACAUCGGGUUUCAGAUCUCACGUACCCAUUGCUAUCUUUAAUCCCGUGCCAAGUGGGCAUGCAAUGCAAGUGGCUAGCAGUGAAUUGAACGAGUCGUCGAACUGCAGCCAACAGCCCAACAGGACAGGAAAUUAUGAAAAAAAAAGGGAGAAAAAACACAAGCAUCAGGGCCGAAAACGCAAGCAUCCAAACUGUCUCAGCACUUGUGCUCUACUAGGAAAGUUUCUACUGGUGAAACACAGCGUUACAUCGAUGGUGUUUCCUGCUGUUUGCAUCGAUCACAAGCAUAUAUAUAGAUUACAUACAGAUUCGACAGUGAUUGACACAGCAUCAUAUGAUCCACUGACUCAUCAUCACACCCUCCUUGACCUUGACAAGUCGAGUUGGUUCAUCAGGGAAGAAUCAAAACACAACAACAAAGCUGCACUGCAAGUUGGAUUGAUUUAGACUACUAGCUCUAGGUCCACAAACUAAGACGACGACCAUUAUUCGACGGUCACACAGCUAGCUCUCUGCGGAACCUUUGAUGCCAUUCAUCAGCUCCAUUUGCAUGCAUCGACGAGGACUCACGGUUCUCGAUGAUGGUUUUUUUACAACAGUUCUUGACGAUGGACCGUUGUCACUAUUCUUUUUUUUGGGGGGGGGGGGGGGGGGGAGCACCCAUGUAUCAAUAAUUGUUGCCUUGUUUAGUUCGAAAAAAAAAGUUUUGGGUAUUGUACCAUAUUUGUGACUACUCAAUUAGUGUCUAAUCAUGAACUAAUUAGACUUACUCUAGGUAUGUGUCUAAACAAUCGAUGUGAUUGGGCGAAAAGUUUUUGAGUGGGAACUAAACAGCCACAUUGGUUCUUGCAAAACAUAAGACUGUGUCCUCGGUCUAUGUAUCAUUAAGGCCAGUCUCAAUGGGGUUUCAACAGAGUUUUAUGGACAAUAAAUAUUCUAAUAUGAUACUGGAUUAAUAAAGAGAGAGAUGAUAAGAGUUUCAUAAACGUAGAAAAAGUUUCAUGGGGAUAAAAGUCUUCUGCACAGUUUUCAAAAUAUUGAUCCAUUGGAAACUGAGUCAUGAAACUCUUAUCGAGGAUGACCUAAGGCCAGUCUCAGUGGAGAGUUUCAUGGCGUUGUUUCCAAGACUACCAUGUCAUGUGAAAUGAGAUGAAACUUGGAUAAACACCCACUCUCAAUGAAGAGUUUCAUUUCAUAGUUUCAUAGGCAUUUAAUUCCAAGACUCAUAGAAAGUUGGUAAUCGUGCCAAGAGAGUUUUAUCUAGAUGAAACCCAUUUCUUCUCUCUCUUCUUAAAUGCAACUGCCAUGUCAUAAAAAAAAGCCUAUGUGCUAUUUAAUGCAAAUGAAACUUCCAUUGAGACUAGCCUAAUAUCACUAGUGCAACAUAAGAUUAUGAUGCCACUAGUGACUACCGCAUCUGUCUCAAAAACGAUACGAUUCUAAGGGCACUCCCAAUGCUAGAAACUACAUGUAGUUUCUAUACCUAUUAAUUUUUAUAGACACUAUAUAUAUAUAGAAACUAUGGUCCGAAUGGAUAGUUUCUAUAGAAUAUUUUUUUAUCUAAUCACAUUCAUUCUCUCUCUAUUCUCAACCAAUCAUAUCACUUCAUAUCUUGGAUUUCAUGUAGACAUAGUUUCUAACUUAGAUCCAGUUUCUAUGAUUUUUGCUCUCUCUCUUCAAUAACUACCUUGGCACAUCAGCAAAAUGCUUAGGUGACACUACAAUUAAUGUCUAUAGAAACUAUGAUGAUUUCUGCAUUAGGAGUGCCCUAAAACAGUGUUCAACCAAACUUUCUUAAAUUUAACUAAAUCCGCAUACAAAAAAUAUUAGUGCUUAUUUAUACUAAACAAGUAUCAUUACAUCUGUCAUGGAAAUAUGGAAUAUAUAUAUAACCACAUUACGUAUGUAUUCAUAUUUGUUUAUCGAUUUCAGUAUGUUCAUAUACUUAUAUAAAGAUACUUUAGAUUUUACCAUGCGAAAAAAUUUCAAAGGAAUUUAUAUUUUUAAUAUAUUACUAAAAUGCCACUUCUGUAGUAUAUAUAAUAAGUAUAACCACAUACUCUAUGUAUUAAUGCAUACUUAACCUAUAUACUACCUUAGAUGGUUUAGUAUGAUCAUAUACUUGAUCUACAUACACUUCAUCAGGUCAUAUACGCCCUAAAUCUAGAGAUGUACACAUGGGAGUAACUACUACUGGGAGUAAAAAGAAAUUAUCCUAUAUAUAUAUAUAUAUAUAUAUAUAUAUAUAUGGUCUUAAAUAUUGAUAGCAUUAUCUACAAAAACCAAUUAAACUUAAGUUAAUUAGCUUGACUCAAUGAAACAUAUAGAAUUUGCAUCCUCUUUGUGACCACGGAUCGAGGUGGUUAUAGUACUAGUACAUGCAGGUACGUACGUACGUCGUUGCAGAGGAUGUGCACGUACAUAUCCGUGUACAAUUAUAUUAGUUACUGUGCACGUGUGACACCUGACUCCACCAAGCCACCCCUUUAUGUCUGAUUGAUCGAUCGAUGGGCUGCCCGCAUGCAACUGUGACGACAAGGAAUGGCUGUAGACAGAGACAUUCACCCCCUCGCCUGGACCUGCUGUGCUGCAUAUGCAUGCUGCCAUGGAAUGGGAUAUGGAAUCCGAGGCAGAUCCGAUCAGCUGAUCAGGCGAGAGGGAACCGGCCGCGCGGUGUGUGCAUGUCCAUACAUGGUACUAGACUACUGUAGGAGCCUGCUAGGACUAUAGGCUAGUGAUGGAGGAAAAAAAAUUAAGGUAGAGCGAAGUUAAUCAUGUGACGAGUCACGCCUAUAGGCGUCCUAGGCAAUUGCAUUUGCCUAUCUUUCUUAUUCUCUUGAUCUUGUCGAGAUCAAUUUGUUUGAAUAUUUCUCGUUUAAUGUAGCGCACCAUUAAGUUACUACCGGAAUCUGCGUCUUUGCCGAGUGUUAAAUGAUUUACCGAGUGUUUUUUUCUUCAACACUCAGCAAAGAAGCUCUUUGUCGACCCGAGUGCUAAAAAGCAUUUGAUAAAGAAACUUCUUUGCCGAGUGUCAAAAAAAAACACUCGACAAAAGCUUCUUUGUCGAGUGCAAAAAAACACUUGACAAAAAAAUUCAAAUCAAAAAGGUUUUCACUACAAAGUUGUAUAACUUCUCAAGAUCUACAACAUUUAUUUUGAUCAUUUUUUCAUUUGACAAAGCCAAGAUAAAUUUAUUUAUAAAUUUUACAUCUCUCUCUUAUAGUUUACGAAGCUACAAAGAGGGAUAUAUAAGAUUUAUAAAAAAUAUUAGAAUCACCAUGUCGGGUGAACAAAUGGCAAAACAACCAAAAUAAACUCUAUAGAUCUUGAGAAGUUAUAAAAUUUUGUAUUUGCCAACUUUUUCAUUUGAGUUCAUCUUGUCAUGCAAAACUACGUCUUUAAUUGAAAAUUUUAAAAUUUUUUUUAAACAACAUCAGAUGGAAAAACUCUCUAAAUAAACUUUGUAGAUCUCAAAAAAUUAUGAAACUUUGUAGUUGAUAACUUUUUGUUUUAGAACCAUCUUGUCGUGCAAAAACUACGUUUGAAUUUCUCAAAUUUGAAAUUCAAAUUUUGAAACAACUUCGGAUGGAGAAACUCCCUAAAUAAAAAUUGUAGAUCCCACAAAGUUAUGAAACUUUGUAGUUGGCAACUUUUUGAUUUGAAAUCAUUUAGACCUCAAAUAAUCAAUUUGCACAUGAUUUGGUAUAAUAUAUGAGGAACUGAAAUGCAAUAUAGAUACAAGUUAUAGCGUGGUGCAGUGGUUAAGGAGAGAGAUGUGUGAGAGAGAGGCCAUGGGUUUGAAUCCCAUCAGCCGCAAAGACACGAAAAAUUCCAGGACUUAGGCAGCAGAUAGAGGUUGGUGGGCACCGGCCUCUCGCGAUUUUUUUCUUUUUUUUUGAUUUUUUUUGAAUUUUUUCGUUUAUAUCUUUGUCGAGUGCCAAUAUUUGGCGAAGUCUUUGCUGAGGGCCCUAAAAAUAGCACUCGGCAAAGACCACUUUGUCGGCUAAAAAGUUACCGUGUGGUCUUUGUCGAAUGUGUUACUCCGCAAAAGUUUUGCCGAGUGAAUUGGGUCUUUGUCGAGUACUACUUGGCAAAACAUAGUGAGUUAUUAAGCCAAGCAUAGGACAUCUUAUUGUGCAAUUCUAUUUUGAUAAUCUUUAUAAGUGGUAACCGAAAGACUAAGUAACAAUAAUGGAAAGACUUAAAAAGUGUCAUAGAGUUGGAUGAUUUAGCCCUUGUUUAGAUCUGAAAAGUUUUUUAGAUUUUGAUACUAUAGCACUUUUGUUUUUAUUUGACAAACAUUGUCUAAUUAUGGAGUAACUAGACUUAAAAGAUUUAUCUUGCAAUUUACAAACAAACUAUACAAUUAGUUUUUAUUUUUAUCUAUAUUUAAUGCUUCAUGUAUGCGAAGCAAGAUUGGACGCGAUCACGAACAGUCAAACACGAACUGGCGAGUCACCGAGUAGCGUGGAAAUUUGGAGCGGCCGGUGUGACGGAAGGCAAUGCGUCGUCGUUGCAGUUCUGGAAAACGAACAAGCUAACAGUACUAGCUAAUAUGCAGUCCCGUAUAUAGCUGCGCAGCCCACAGCCCUACAAGGCAAUUGUCAAAGCCGUCCAUGCAUUCGUCAUGGGUAGCUGUAGGGUUUAACUCUCGUUUCCUCAGCUGUACGUACCGGCGCCCUCAGUCCGGUGAACCUUGGACAUUACCCCAUUUGCCAUGUUAUGGUAAUAAAUAGAUUUGCAGCGAUAUAUGUGGUUCGAUGUGUCCUCUGUUUUUACUAGUACUAAUUCCGCGAUGGGUUUAAUUAGUGCCCAAUUUUAUUUAAAGUUUACUCCUUGCGUGAAAUUAAUGGACGGUUCGGUUCUAUUUCUACCCUUGCAUUGCCCUACGUAAGCCGUAGCCUGUACCUAGCUAGUUUCGUGGGGACGUGUCUGGCUGGCCGGCCACCUGAUCGCAGCAAACAGAACGACCUGAUCGUUAAAAGGGUGGACUGGUCGGGCAUCUUUGGGCAAAAAAUUGGAAACGACUACACGGAGAGCCUCUUCCAUUGAGCCAGUAUGCAAACUAUUUGUCACGGUGCGAGCCUAUAGAUCGUCAUAGGGUCACUGGUUGCCCUGCUCGUACCGUCCAAAAGGCUAUCUGCUACAAGUCAUGCACUUCGGACUUGUUUGGUUACCUAGUUUGCCUGCUUCGUUCCAUUCCUUUUCCCCUCCACCCGCAUGUCUCUGUCUUCCCUCAUGGUGCAUACACUGCCACACGUUCGGACAUUAGCACCGGUCGGGAAGGGCCUGUUGCUCCGGUUCCCAAGCCGGUGCUGUCCUUCCGGGACUAAAGGCCCACCCUUUAGUCUCGGUUCGGGCAACCGGAGCUAAAGCCCCCCCUCUUUAACACCGGUUGAUAAUACCAACCGGUGUUAAAAGGUCCUGCCAGGGCUGCCACGUUGCAGGACCCUUACCAACCGGUGUUAAAGGGUUUCUUUUUCUUUUUUUUUGGUUCACUUCUUCGGUUCUGUUUAUUGUUUAUAUAUAAUAUAUAAUAAUAGGUUUUUCAAUACAUGUUUUUCUGAUACAAUAAUAUAUUUAUAUUACACACAUAUUAAGCAUAUAUAAAUGAAAAUUAUAGGCUUAGCUUAAUAAUUAAGCUUUGCCUAUAAUAAAAUGAAUAGACCACAUCAAAAAUUAAAUAGAUAUGUAAAAAGCUUUAUAUAUAUAUAGUUUUAUAUGUACAAAAUUCGUAACACAUAUAUACAUAGAGUUUUUUCUCCCAAUGUCUACAAACGAUACAAAUGAUCAUCGUUGUUUGGAAUAAGAGUUUCGUUGCCGUUGAAGUGAAACUCGCCGUUUGGAUUGAUCACUUGGUCGCGGAGAAAUCCUGCUAUCGUCUCUUGGAUAGCUUUGAUUCGGUCUUGUUGUAGGACCUUUUCCCUCAGCCAUUCCGUCUUUAAUUUGAAAUAAAUAAAAAAGGUAUUAGUUAUCUAAGUUAUUCAAUAUAAUUCAGGAGAUAAUGAAAAGAGACAUGUAACGUACUCUGAGCGUCUCUGUGGGUGUUUGAUUGACUUGUGCCAUCAUGAAUUUGCACACGUAAUAUGCACAUAGAUUGUUCCCCCCUUCUUGUCUUAAACACCACUGUACGAUAUAUAUAUAUAAAUAUUCACGACCACGACAAUAAGAAGGCUAAAAGUUAGCGAAAGUUUGUUAGCUAGUAGAACUUACUUGUGGAUGUAUUAUGUUAAGCGGCGCUUUACAUCCACUGAGAUGUUCACGGUCAAUGAAUCUUUCCCAAAGCCUAUACACAGCCAUUGUGGAUCGUGAACUAAUAAUUACAUAGUCAUAUUAUGAUAUUUUUGUAGCUGAGAUCGACAUUACGUACCUUUGAAUAAUGUUUACCAUUUGUUGAUAAUUUUCUUGUGGUUUUCUCAUUGAGUCAAAGAUUAUCAACCGGUUCUUGCGAAUUUCAAUGACCAUGAGUAUCCAGUGAAAGCUGUUUACACACAUAUAUAUAGUUAUUAAAAUACACUUAAUAACUAUAUAACUCACUCGAAGUUGAAGGGGAAGAGUAUUUUUUGUUUUUCUUUUUGGUUCACAAAGAACCUCAUAAGAUUGGUGCAGACUUCUGCCUCAUGAUCUGCUGUCCACACUGCCUGCGGAGCCUUGAAAACAAUAUAAGGGUCAACGAACCCAAUACUAUUGUCAUUUUUCAUUCUGAGCUCUCUCAUUUGGUGCCUGCAUAUAUACAUACAAAUCCUAAGUGUGUAAGGAUUAUAUACAUGUAAUUAAAGAAGUUAGAAGUAUAAUAGAAAUAAAAAAAUACUUAUAGACAAAAGCAGCUGACAAGAGAUUUGUCAAGAGCGUCGAGAUGGCAUAAUUGGUGCAAUUCUUCGAACUGCACGUAUAUGAGGUCAUCUCCACGGAAGUAGUGAUGUUGUCUAAUACGAACAGAAAUCCAAUUAUCUCCCCUUUUAGACGCCUCAAUGCACCAUUUGUUUAUUGCAAACAUUUGUGUGCCGAGCUCGUGUAAACGCUUAGGGUCGAAUAGACUCCUGCCCGGUUCAUAUCUUGCCCUCCAUUGAUCAACUACCUCGGCUUUUUCAAAUGUUUGGCAUCCAAGAAUGGCGGCAAUUUCUUCCAUAUUUAAACCGCUCUGUCCAAAGUAACGCUCAAGCGAGUCUAGCUCAGACAACGCUAAGGAUUUCUUUGGCAUCAAGUCUUCAUUUGAGCCGUAUUAAUUUGGCACAAUCAAAGGGGGCACCGGUUUUGAUACUUCUCCGAGCUGUGGGACCCCCUUUCCUACUCUCUUCUUAGUAGGCUGUGAAGACUUGUGAAGACUUGACCAGAGACCGCUCAUAGUCCGAAAGUGCUGGCUUUUUCUGAGCUUCGCGUUGCUUCUUUUGAUGGUCCGCCACCUUCUGCCUCGGUUCCGAUGGCUUCACAUAAAAGUACGGCUUUUCUGGGUUAAGCCGUUUUUUCCUAUCCUCCUUUAUUUUAUCAAAAAAUUGUUGGACCUCAGCUUUGGAUGUAGCAAUUACAUCCUCUUCACUCUUUUCGUAAGGUAAUUUUUCUGGCGUCUUAGCUCUCUUUGCUGAGGCAGCCUUCUUUGGAGGUGGGACCGAUGACUUUGGUCCUUCUUGGGCGGACCGCUUCUUACUACCUCGCUUUGGAGGCGAGGGGACCGACCGUGCACUCUUUGGAGAGGGCGGUGCAGGCGGUGGAGGUGGUGGGGCCGAUCUUUUUGGCGUUGGAGAACGCGGUGGAGGAGUUGGAGACCUCGGUGGAGGAGUUGGAGACCUCGGUGGAGGAGGUGGAGACCGUGGUGGAGGCGGUGGCGGGGUCGGUGUGGCCACCGCAGGUGUUGGAGGAGAUCCAGCAUUGUCACCGCCCGCAGCACUAUGAUGCGCUGGGGAGAGAACUGGACUUAGGUUGGAGGAGUCCCUGCAAAGAAAACAAUUACAAGUUUUGUGAGCAAACUUUUUUUAAUUUCAAUACAUAAUAAAUAAUAUAAGAAGUAAAAUCACACACAAACCUAUGCUGAGGAAUAAUUAUGAAGCGCUUGCGCCAACAAAUAAAUGUCUUCUCAGCUUCACCUAAAGUCUUCUCUCCGUCUCCCCCUUCUAUGUCUAGUGGCACAUUGCCACAACCUUUCUCAACCCUAUCAACCGAGACGCUAGCAUAUCCACCAGGUACUGGUCGAUUAUGGAUUCUUGGAGUUCUCGUUCGGUCGAUAGGGUUGACAACAGCGAUAACCACCUUUUUGGUGGCAUUCCCAUCUGGUACAUGCAGCUCAUAGGUAGUAAAAGCCUCUGUGACAUCAUCCACGGGGAAGUGUAGCUUCGUGCCAUCCUGAAUGGUUGGUACUUCCGUGGAUGCGCAGCUGCUUUUCAACUGGCCUGGGGGGCUAACAUUGACCUCAGGCUGUGAUGUACCUUGCCCUUUCGUCAUUUGACUAAGUGCUGCUUGCACUUGCCUUUGAAUCUCUGCCUGCAUCCAUUCUUCACGAGCUUUCUCGCGCUCUUGUGACUGCAGAACAAAAGCUUCCAGGCGGCGGAUCCGCUCUGCCUCCUCAUCCUUCUUUCUCUGGCGGCUUCUGUAGGUAUCUUGAUCGGCUUGGAAUGAUUGCAGCCAUGGAACUGCCCCAUAGCCUCUCGUACGCCCACCGUGCUCAGGAUUUUCAAGCGCAUAGGUGAGUUCAUCCUUCUCCCUGUUAGGCCUGAACUCACCAGACUGAACCGCCUCUCGUGCACGGACUAGUCUCUCUGCUGCUCUAGAGAUUUCUUGGCCCCAAACUAGCGCCCCGGUGUCUGGGUCCACGCUUCCCCCAUGACCGUAGAACCAAUGCUUGGAGCGCUCGCUCCAAUUCUUUGCUAUUGUCUCGGGUGUGACCCCCCUAGCAAGCAUCUCCUGUUUCAUUCGGUCCCACUUGGGAACAGCACUCUUAUAACCACCUGAUUGAAGGGUCGAGAUGGCGGACUAGAGGGGGGGUGAAUAGUCCUUUCUAAAAACUUAUCGCACCGGCUAACCGAAACAAAUGCGGAAUUAAAACUAUCGGUCUAGCCAAGACUACACCCCUCUAUCUAAGUUCUCUAGCACCUUGAAAAGAUCCUAAACAAGCAAGCAAGGUGCUACCUUAGCAAGAGCUCACCUAACCAAUUCUAGGAGCAAGGUCACACAAACCUAUGCAACUAGUACUUUGCAAACAGAGGGAGCUCCUACACAAACUAGUGAGGCAAAGCGCACAAAGCCUAAGCUCACUAGCAAGCUCAAUAACAAGGCAACUAAUGCCAAAUUAGAGAGCGCAACUUACUUAGCUACACAAACUAAGCAAUGUGACUAACAAGGUUACACAAACCAAAUUAGUCACGCAAGGGAACUACUUCUAGCUACACAAGCAAGAAGGCAACUAGCAAGCUACACAAGCUAACUAAUUACAAGAGCAACUACACAAGCACAAGUAUAUGAACGUAAGAACGAGCUUGUGUUAGGAACUUGCAAACCAACGAGAAGAACAAUGUUGACACGAUGAUUUUCUCCCGAGGUUCACUUGGUUGCCACCAAGCUACGUCCCCGUUGAGACAAGCUCCAAGGUUGCCGCCGGUCCUCUUGCUAGUGGUGACUCGCAAGUCACACUCUCCCACGUGGAGUGCUUACCAUAAGCUCUAGCACUUGACCCGGCCGGACCACUUGUCGCUCUUCACGUCUCGCUCAACUAGAGUUGCUCUUCGCGAUCCCCGCGGGGUGAGCACCGUACCCCUCACAAUCUCUUCUCCGGAGCACCGCACAAUCUCCUUGCGUGCUUCGACGGAGUCACAAGCCACCAAGCCGUCUAGGAGGUGGCAACCUCCAAGAGUAACAAGCACCACCGGCUUGCAACACGAACACCUAGUGCCACUCGAUGCAAUCUCUCAAUGCAACGCACUAGAAUCACUCACUCGCUAUUGAUUCACACUCUUGCAAGCACAAGUGAGUUAGAGGCUUUCCUAGCACUCCCCAAGCAUGGACACUAAGUCCCAAGGGUGCUCAGCGCCGGCCAAGGCCGGCCACCACUUCUAUUUAUAGCCCCAAGGGCUAAACUAGCCGUUGCCCCUUCACUGGGCAAAACGCGUGAGCACCGGACGCUCUCAAGGAGCCACCGGACGCUCAACACCCAGCGUCUGGUGCUCAGCAGACCGCCACGUGUCACUAGCCGUUUGAAGUCGACCGUUGCCGCCAACGGCUACUGCGCACGCACGCCUGCACAGCACCACCGGACGAUGGGCACCGGACGGUCCGGUGCUCAACGGACUCGUGCGCAGAGAGUUUGUCAAACUCGCGACCUCACCGGACGCUAGGCACCGGACGGUCCGGUGCUCACCGGACUCGUGCGCAGAGAGGGUCGCCAAACAGCCCGCACACCGGACGCUGAGCACCGGACUCACUCCGGUGCGUCCGGUGCACUCUGCUGCACCCGACAGCACACCGGACGCUAAAGGCCAGCGUCCGGUGCCUCCGCGCUGAGCGUCCGGUGAGUGUUUCCAACUGAGAAACACUCCCGCGACUUCUCCAAAUUUCCCACCGUCGCAAUAGAAAAUAUACACUUAUUUUUCUCAAAAGCGCCGAAUCCCGCCUUGCAAGCUCGGCGGGAGGGAGAGAGGAACCCACACCUCUCUCAACCCUGGGAACACCACCUCCUUUGCAAAUGUGCCAACACCACCAAGUGUACACCACCAUGUGCAUGUGUGUUAGCAUUUCACAAACAUUUUCCCAAAAGAGUUAGCCUCUCAAACUUGCCACGCCACUCGAUCCUAACACGUAUGCAAAGUUAGAUCGCUCAAGUGGCACUAGAUGACCGAUAUGCAAACAAGUUUGCCCCUCUUGAUAGUACGGCCAUCUAUCCUAAAUCCGGUCAUAAACUUCUCUACACACCUAUGACCGGUGAAAUGGAAAUGCCCUAGGUUAUACCUUUGCCUUGCGCUUUCCAUUCCAUCUCCUCCAAUGUUGAUGCAACACAUGCACCAACCAAUCACCAAAUGAUAUGAUCCACUUCAUAUCAUCACAUGACCGUAUUGGUUCAUCGAUCUUGACCUCACUUGCUCUUCACCGUUGCCUCGGUCCAUCGGCGCCAAGUCUUGCUCAAGCUUCACCGUCACACGCGGUCCCUCGCUUCAAAGCCUCCGACUUGCCCUUCACUCUUGCAACCGGUCCAUCAAGCCAAGCCUCAUCUUGAUCUUCUCCACCUUGGUCACAUGACUCCAUGUCAUGUCUCAUAUGCAAUGAGCUCCUCCAUAAUCACCUGUGGACUAAUCUCCUGUGUAUCUCACAUAAACACUAUUAGUCCACCUAAGUUGUCACUCAAUUACCAAAACCAAACAAGGACCUUUCACUGAUCCCAUAUGAUGGUGGUAUGUCUUUUUACUGGCAUUCUCUUUGUUUCUAUUGGCUCAUUCCUCGCCCUCUUCUGAUGUUUUGUACUGCACAAAGUCAUCCCAGAAGGCCCUCAGCUUUACAUAAUGCUUGAGGUUGAAAUUUGGAGUCUCGUUUUUCUUGACAUAUUUAUUGUACAAAGACUUCUUCCAAUUCUGGAAGAGUACUGCCAUCUUCUUCAUAGUCCAGUCAUAAAUUCGCACCUUCAACUCUUCAUCGUUGGUGUCGAAGGUGAAAACGUCUGUGACGGCUUUCCAAACUAACUCCUUGUCACGAUCAGAGACAAAACUGAUCUCAGGAGCACCUCGCUUCUCUCUCCAUUCACGAGCACUGAUCGGUAUUUGAUCUCUCACAAGAUAUCCACAGUGACUAACAUAUUUAUUUGCAUGCUCACCAAGUGGUCUGCUUGUAGCUAUCUCAAACUCAGAGAUUACAUAGCGGCCCUCCAACGGCUUCUUUGGCCCUCGUGGAGGUACGCUUCUCCCUGUACAGGUCGAUCCAGAAGGCUACACGUAGAUAUAGAAACAAAAAUACUAAAUUAAUAACCAAGUAAUAAGUCUAAAACCUAAUGUAAGAGAUGCAUUAAUUAUAUAUGUUUACAUUUACAUACCUCGCCAGUAUUUUCUUCUUGUUGCACGACAAGUUGUUGCUCAGAGGCAUUGCCCUCUUGUUGCUCAGGGGCAUUGCCCUCUUGUUGCUCAGUACGAUUGCCUUGCACGAUCUCGUGGUAAUCAACAAAGUACUGACUACCGUCGUCGAUUAUAUUUUGAAUGGCAUCUUCCAUAUAAUCAGGAUCAUCAUGAGGACGGUCAGCCAUUUCUAUGUCUGCAACCAUACAUAUAUAUAUAUUCUAUAUAAGAUAAGAAAUACACUAGAAUAAUAUACUAAAAAACAAUACUAGAAUAAUAGUACAAAUGAAAGUGCUGGAGUUCUCCAAAAAUAAUACUAGAAUCUUAAGCCUAGUAAUACACUAGAAUAAUAUACUAAAAGAAUAAUACUAGAAUAAUAGUACAAACAAUAAUAUAUACAAAACACUAGAAAAUAAAAUAUAAUACAAGAAUAAUAGUACAAACAAUAAUAUAUACAACACAUUAGAAAAUAAAAUAUGAUACAAGAAUAAUACAAGAAUAAUAUACUACAAAUAUAUACUAAAAAUACUACAAGAAUAUAUAUUACAAGAAUACUACAAAAAUAAUGAAAGUGUUGGAGUGCUCUAAAAAAUAAUACUAGAAUCUUAAGCCUAGUAAUACACUAGAAUAAUAUACUAAAAGAAUAAUACUAGAAUAAUAGUACAAACAAUAAUAUAUACAAAACACUAGAAAAUAAAAUAGAUAUUAGAGACUUAUAUACUACUAGUACUACUACAAAUGAAAGUGCUGGAGUUCUCCAAAAAUAAUACUAGAAUCUUAAGCCUAGUAAUACACUAGAAUAAUAUACUAAAAGAAUAAUACUAGAAUAAUAGUACAAACAAUAAUAUAUACAAAACACUAGAAAAUAAAAUAUAAUACAAGAAUAAUACAAGAAUAAUAAUACUACAAAUAAUAUACUAAAAAAAUAAUACUACAAAAUAAUACAAGAAUAAUAUAUACUACACUUAUACUAAUGUACUAAAAACUAUUACUAGAAUAAUAUAUUAACAUCAUGCAUUAUUUUUUAGUGUAUAUAUAUAUAUAUACUUAAUAUAUAUACUAGCUAGCAUUCAAUAAUUAUUAUUUUUGUGUAAAAAUAUAUAGAAAUCACUAAAAUUGCAAAGUGAUUGACAUAUAAUUCAUAACAUUUAUUUAUUUUAUAUAUAUAAACUGCAGUGGAGUAUUUAUUAUAUAUAUAUAUAUAUGUAUAUAUCGAUCUCGGUUUUGGAUUAUACAUGGCGUGUGUGCAGUGGACGCGCGGGGCCGGGCGUGGAGAUCGAGGCGUAGAUGGCGGCGCUGGUGGAGAUGGUGGUCACGGCGGCGGCGCUGGUGGCCGGAGCUGGCCGCGGCGGCGCUGGAGACGGCGGCGCUGGAGAUCGGCGAGGUCGCGCGCGGGCAGAUGAACGGGCGGCGGCGCUGGAUACGACGAACUCGACGAAGACGAAGAUGAACUGCUUAGAUCCAGGGCGCCCAUGACUUAAAUAGAGGCGGACCCUUUAGCACCGGUCCGUGGCUGGAACCGGUGCUAAAGGGCCUUUAACACCGGCUGGUGUUACGCGCCGGUGUUAAAGGGUCCGUGGAUGCGCAGGUUCAGGGCAAAAACCGGUGCUAAAGGGUUUGCCUCGGACCGUGGCUAUGACCGGUGCUAAAGGGACCCCUUUAGCACCGGUUUGUAAUACGAACCGGUGCUAAAGGGUCUCUGCCCCGACAGCACCUGUCAGUAGCCGUUGGGCAGGACCCUUUAGCAUCGGUUCGUGUUACGAACCGGUGUUAAAGGGGGUCUUUAACCCCGGGCCGUAAAAUGGCCGAGGUUUUUGGCCAUUUUGGGCAUCGACCAAUGCCUCAUUCUGUAGUAGUGAUGGAUGACUUGAUUUACUCAUGAUGUAGGAACUCAUGUGUUAGACACCCAAAACUCUGAUGCAUGCAUGCAACCAAACACAACCUUGUCUCGUACUGAACCAACAACAAGACAACUAAACAUGAUCACCUGCACGAGCUUAACCUAGCUCCUUCGGUCCUGCCACAACCUAGCCAUCCUAGAUGAAAGGUUUGCUCUGCAACCAAUCAUGCCUUAUGAGCAGAAGCAAUGAGCUUCUUCACAGCUAAUGGUGGUCGUUUCCUUUUCAUACUAGACAUUGUUAGAGAUAUUUGUGGAUAUGCUGCCAGUUGGACCUGAGUAAUCAAGUAGAGGAAGAUCAAGGUCAAGACAAUGAUACAAAGAGUCUGAACAAGGUGCCAAGGGCCAGGUGAGAGAUGGGGGAUUAUUGAGAAACCAAACACUUAGGUUCCCUCCUCUGGAAUAAUAAUCCUAUAAAUCUUUAUGCUCCACUAACUACUCAUCUGAUCUCCAAUGCCUCUCUUCUAAUCUCAGCUACCUUGCUGCUAACAUGGACUUUUUAGUUAUGCGCUUAUAAUAAGUUAAACUUUGAGGUGUGUGAGUUGUUUCAUAAUACGUUCACUCAUUUCAUUAUCUACGAAUAAAUUAAAGCAAAUAAAAAAAGCUUAUGCAUAUGUUGCCCUCCCUUUGCUACCCUCAUCUACUAACCCAAUUACCUAUUUCCGCCAAGCCAUCCAUGCCCAUUUGGCAUCACCAUCGCCACUGGUCCGGUAGUCUCCCUUGACCUUUUCAUUCGAUUCAACAACUACAAAAACCAUUCCUCACUCUAACUCAAAACCUCCAAACUUAAUUAACCUGAAGCCCGUACCUAUACUCGUACCUGAACUCAAAGUCCGCAACUCAACGGGAAAUGAGAUGUUGUGUGAGGUCAUUGGAGGAGAAGACAUCUUGCUGGUGUUAGUCCAUCAAUUUUUGUUUGCUUAAUACUCCCUUCAUCCCAAAUUGUAAGUCAUUCCAAAAAUCUUGAAGAGUCAAACUUUUCUAAGUUUAACCGAAUUUAUAUGAUAAAAUAAUAAUUAUUAUGAUACCAACUAAGUAUCAUUAGAUUUUUUCUUAAUUAUAUUUUCAUAGUAUACUCACUUUACGUUACAAUUCUUAGUAUUUUUCUCUAUAAUUUUGGUAAAAUGUAAAAAUACUUUGACUCUCCAAGAUUCUUGGAAUGACUUACAAUUUGGGAUGGAGGGGGUAGCAAACAUGGUCUUGUGUUGCAUGGGGAUGCACAAAUUGUUCUCGGUGCUAGUGGCAAUAAAUAAUGAGCUGCUACCUAUUUUUGUAAGAUAUAAUUAGAAUUGGUAUAACUUUAAAUCAAAUAAUUUUAAAGGUGUAAUAAAAGAUUAAUCCAACAUAGGAAAUUGAUACCAAAGUUGAUUCAACUUAUAAGUGGCUAUUGUAUGCACCUGUUAUAUGAGUAGAAUAUAAGAAAAGUGGAAGGCAAGGCCACACGACGCCUGCAUAUGCACCACGAUGCACACAGACUCAAGCAGCUAGGCCAAGAGCAAGAGAUGAGUGGUGCAACACUGCCAGAGAAUAUCUUGCAACUUUCAACUCCGAGCGAAAAAGAGUGAGGGACAACAAGCCAAACAAAAGAGGAGUGAGUAAGGAACGAACAUGGUUAGGGAGAUAGUGUGAAAAGAGUGGAAGGUGAAAGGAAAAUAACUCUCUAUUUAAUACCAUUAUGGAUAGAAAUAUACUAAUCCUAUUCCAACAUCAUCCUAGCUAAUUUGUUUUUUUUUUUUGAUUCCAGACAACAAUUUACUUCCAAAUCGAGGUGUCCUCUCGAUUUAGCUUUUACCUAAAGAAGUUUAUUUCUUCCGUCCCACAAAUAAAUACAUUUUUUUGACUUCUAUGAUUCGACUAUUCGUCUUAUUUAAAAAAAGUUUAGUAAAUAUUAUUUAUUUAUAUAACUUAUUUUAUUAUUAUAUAUAUUUUUAAAUAAUUUAUUUAUUUUAUUAUUUACAUUAAAAGUAAAAUGAAUAGUUAAAUAUGAAUUAUAUCAGUUAAAUAAAAGUAUUUAUUUAUGGUACAGAGAUAGUAGUUUAUUUUUUUCAUAUAACUUUUGCCUACCUUACAACAUGGUAUGCAGCUCCCGUGUUAUCUCAGGGGGGAAAAAAUAUUCCUAGUUAGCUUUCACUGUCGGUGGGCACGACAUUGUUACCAAGCAUUAACGCGCUGUAGUUUCUCGUCUGACAGACGCCCACCACACCCCAACGUGACAGGCCACUAAAUUCCGAGCUCGUACAGUACGUAGUACCAGCGUAUGGUACUGUACAAGCAGAGAGCAGGUAGCCAGGUACAUGCAGGUGCAGUGCACGGUCCACCCAACACACACUGCAGGCCUGCAGCCUGCAGCAAAUAUGAUACGAUACGGUCUCCCUACAGAUUUGUGUGCAGACGAAAAAUCUCAAAAAAAAUGCUCGGUCGCACGUACGGAUAUAGGAUUAUUAUUUCAGCAGGAUAUGAUCCCGUAGCUUUGGCAGCUUGCACAGCUGGACGGACACCCCGCGACGAUCGAGAUCCAUCGGGCACGUCGAUGCCUCGGCGUUUGUACGUAUACGUACCCGUCGAUCGAUCGGAAAGAUUCAUCUGCAAAACUAGCUAGUACGUACAAGCUCGCAGGACGUACGCAUGCAGAUGCAGCGUCUCGUGUCUACCGCGUGCCGGCCGCCGUGCACCCGCCGGCUACCGCCGGCCGCGACGACGUCGCCGGGGCGUGCUUCGUGGCCGCCGUUGUUAUUUGCCGCCGCCGCCGCCUCGGUGCGACGGCGGUGGGGGCGGUGGCCGAAGCCGCGGUCGCCUUCGUCGUCGUCGUCGGCUGCUCGUCGUUGCCAUUGUUCGGUGCUGCGACCGAAGCGACGGCGACGACGGGCGCGCCGCCACCGCCGGCCGGGCUCACCAACUGCUGCUGCUUCCUCCGGGCGUGCUCCUUGGCGAGCUCGCGCGCGAACCGCUCCACCUUGUCGGCGUUGGUCUCGCCGGCCAGCUUCCGGCCCUGGAACAGCACCGACUCCACGCUCCUCUGCAGCAGCAUCGCCUCCGCCUUCCACACCGCUUCCUGCUUCGUCUCGCCGCCGCAUGCCCUCGGCGCCCGCCCGCCGCCGCCGCCGCACCGCCCACCCGUGCCCUGCACACGCACGCAUGCAUGUCCCAUGGUGUUAUUUAGCAUUGACAGGCCAGUUAAUUACUCUUAAUACCUUACAGAUCCAAGAGUUGCAUUGAGACUGACUGGCUACUAGCUAGCAAUGUGUCCUUUUUUUUACCUGGAUGCGGAUGUAAUUGGUCGUCCUGCUAUGUCCGAACGCCAUGGCCACAGCUUGAUCCACCUAAAAAUGCAAUGCAAGCAACAUGUCGCUUACAUGGGAUAGAUCACGCACACCGUACGCCACGAAAUUCAACGAAAUUUAACCAAACGCACGCACGAUCCAGACGUGCGUUCGUACGACGAAACCGCGGCUUCACAUGAGAAUUCAUUGCUCGCUGGCGCGCCGUUCGCCAUGAAGAGACGCCGGAACGGUACGUACCAUGUCGGAGACGCCCUCGGCGGCGAUGCUAGCGACCUCGGGCUUCCUGCGUCCUCGGCCUACGCCGGCGUCCCCCGCGCCCGUACCGAUGGACAUGACGAGCAGGUCGUCGAUGGUGGCGGCGGCGGGGAACUCGCGCCGGUUGUUGAGGACGUGCGUGAUGGCGGCCGCCGUGGGGUUCCCCAGCGCGACGCCGCCGCCGACGGCGCGGAUCCGCGUGGCGCCGUCCACGGACGCCACCUCCACCACGCCCCCGCCGCCGCCACCGGCCGCGCACGUGGCGGCGCACACGUCGCGUAGUCGGAAGUCGUGCGCGGGGGACUCCGCGGCGUCGGCGCGCGAGAAGAGGAACGGCGCCCGUGUCGCCAGGUCGUAGCACGGGACCAGGACCGGGCGCACCGUGUCGCGGAGCGUCAGGUCGCCGAGCGCCCUGCCGAACGAUGCGGCGGAGGAGGAGGAGGAGGGGCCGCGGCGGCGGCGGCGGUGCACGCGGCGGAGGAGGAACGCCAGCGCCUCGUCGGCGCUGCACAUGGGCCGGCCACCGCGCGGCCCGCGCGCGAACAGCAGCGCCGCCAGGACGCCGCCCGCGCCGGACCCCGCGACGACGUCGAAGAAGUCGGCGAGACGCGCGGUGGGGCUCCCGGCGCGCCGCCGCAGCGCGGCCUCCAGGCGCACCAGCGCGGCGCCGGCCAGGAGCCCGUCGGCCGCGCGCGCGCCGCCGUCGAUGGAGAGGACGCACACCUUGCGGCCCGUGCUGGCGGCCGUCCUCCGCGCGGCCCCGGUGGCGGCGGUAGGGACGAAGAGGCCGGCCGGGACGUCGCAGCCGAACAGGAACUUGGACUCGAGAAGGGAGAAGAUCUCGUAGGUGAGCCUGCUCGCCGCGUCGACUUCGUCCUUGCCCUGCUCGCGGUCCGCCGCCGCGAGAUCCUCCGCUUCUUCCAUGGCUGCUCCGAUCCGAUCCACUCCACCCAGAGUCCCAGAACCGGGGCGGCCGGUAGCUCUCACUCCUUGGGCGCCAUCUGCGCGCGUUUUAUAGCGGGAGGAGAAGAAGGCGGGAGGGAGGAAGAGAAACGGCCGGCGCAGGUUAGCGGCCACGUCACCGCGACGCGUACGUACGUUUCGUGUACUGGAGCGUGUAUCGUGAAUGCGUCUACGUAUACACAUUGCUUUUCUAUUACAAAGGACUACAAAAGCUUUUGUUUCUUUCUCGCAAAUCGCAAAUAUUGUUAGGACAACAAAACUCCUUGCAAUAAUAUAUAUAUAUUGCUUUCGAUCGUCACACUGAAUAUUAUGUAAAUGUGCACGUAUUGGUGUCACGUACGUACGUUGUGGCCUGUGGGACGCCGUAGUGGAUGGAUGGGACGAUGACGACACACUUGUGCCGUUCGAUCUUCGAUGGAUCAGAUCAGUACGUGCAAGUGUACCGCCAUCUAGUGAACGCGUGCGUGACUUCAGAUGUGUGUGAGCGGACUGCACCUAAUUAACCGCACGCGAAUGAGUCAAUUUUUUCCAUCAGGAAUUUAAUUCCAUUUAUUAUAAGCUUUACUGAAAUUAGCCAUGACCGAUGACUUUUCCUGCACAAUUUCCAUUGGAUUUCCAGUAUCAACCUAUCGAGUCUCGGAAAAUAUUUUUGGGUCUUGAUGGGUAUGUACAAUACAAAAUUAGGCCCAGGUGAGGCAAUUUUUUAAAGAAAUUAAUUGGUUUUCAACGUCAAUUUAAAAUCGGCAACCAAAAAGAUGAAUAUCAUCGUCCAUUUUUAUUGUCACUCUACUGCAAUGAAUGGUCGAGGUGAAAUGUCGACACAGAGGGACUGAUUGUUGGUGCCCUUUGGUGUGUUUUGCCCCUAUUCAUUUCUCAACACCCUGGCUCUCUCUUCGUGAUGGGACCAAUGACAACUUAGAUGGGGGUAGAGAACACGGCAGAGGUGCCCAUGGUGUGCGCAGUGGUAACGAAGAAUCCCAUAGUUAUUUGAGAUCAUGGCGAAAGCUUGGAUGGUGUUGUUUGUGGAUGCCACUUCCUUCUUGGAGGCAUCCCUCCUUGUACCUUGUCUCCCUACCUAGUUUUUUUAUUGAAAAACCUAUUGUGGGAUGGCAACGAUGUUAGCGCCUUUGGUGUUGUUACCUUCCUGAAGGCGUCGCUAGGCAAUUGUAGUUCUAUUGCUUGACACUUGGCUCUAUUGCUUCUCUUGAUUUGUAUACAUGAUGUCUUUCCUUCCCUGCUUUCUUCGCGGCAUGACAUAGCCUACCAGUGGUGCUGACUUGUCUUGUGCUCGAGGUUUUCACCAGUAGCUCUCAGCGCCGUGUCUUCUCUCACGUCCUGACUCGCUAGAUUGGUGUUAGAAGGUCCAAGGGAGGCUAGACAUUUUAGCCAAACGGAAGGAGGACAAUCUCAGAUGAGAAAGAUGAAGUGGUUGUUGCCGAAGAUCUUUCCUAGCCUGUGUGGGGAUUGAUGUAAUGCAUCAAGUUCUAUAUUGUAUUCACUAGAGAAUUAUUCAGCAAGUUAUGUGACAAGGUAAGCAUAGGAUUGAGAAUAAUUGAGUGUCUUUGUUUCUCUGUUCUGUGUGUUUAUACCCAGAGGUGGAUCAUAGUCUCAGUACGUAUUAGAUUAGAAGUGCGUUAAAAUCGGCUCUACUCAUUCACUUCUGGAGGCCGGUGUUAAUUAUAGUACAAUGCAUCACACUCUUUAGUUGUGGUCAUGAAGAUUUGAAGAAAAAAAGGCCACAUAAUUAAAUCUCCACGAUUUGUUCAAAAUCCAAACAAUCACACUCUUUAGUUGUGGUCAUCAAGAUUUGAAGAAAAAAAAGGCCACAUAAUUAAGUCUCCACGAUUUGUUCAAAAUCCAAACAAUGUACGUAUGUUACGUAUAGUAUCAUAAUAUAUUUUCUUUGUUUUGAAUUAUAGCUUAUUUUAUUAUUCUUUUAGAUACAAUGUACUUCGUAUGCACCCAGAUAGAUAUCAAGAUAUUAGAUAUAUAAUAAAACCAGAUGUUUUUUUAAAAAAUAAAGUGACUUAUAAUUUGAUAUGAAUAGCAAGAAUGCAUGCAAAAAUCAGGAGGGUGCGCCGGGCCUAGUGAGCGCGCCACGUACACACGUACGUAUGUACGGACGGAGCGGCGUAUGCAUGCAAUGCACCCCCGGCCGGACACACCCGGUCCAAUAUGGAUCAUGGAUCGUCGCCCGAUCUGCCAGCCGGGCCGCAGAAGGCCGGCCGGAGGUUAAUGCAUGCACGACGGUCCCACCCACACGUGCUGCUCAUCCGCUCCGUCGUCGUCCUCCUCUCUCCGUCUCGCUCUCGCCAUGCAUGCUUUGGAUUUGGGUAUCCUAUAUAUGAUGAAGUGAAUGAGGCUUACUUCCUCCUACAAACUAAAGACUUUUCAAGAUUUUUUCUUACAUCAAAUCUUUAAAUGCAUAUGCAUAGAGCAUUAAAUAUAGACAAAAAAAAUAAAAACUAAUUACAUAAUUUACCUGUAAUUUGCGACACAAAAUCUUUUAAAUCUAUUAAUUAUGAUUCAAUAAUAUUUAUCAAAUACAAACGAAAGUGUUACAAUGUCUCAAAAUUUUUUUUGGUAGUAGCUAAACAAGGCCUGAAUGAAUGAAUAUGAUGAUGAUCUCAACUGAUCCACCACACAACCACUUAUUGUUGUACAUAGGAUUCCGUUCCGUCCACAAAGGGUCCAUGCAUGCGUGCCCACGCACGUACGCGCCAUGUAGGAGUACUAGUCCUACCACGUACUACGUAGCACGUUCUCCUCCGUGCAUACAUUGUAGGUAGCCACUGUUAAGCUACGGUAACGGUACGGCCAGUUGUUUUGUUGCUCCAUCCCUCCAUCAGGCGCCGGAAGAAUUUUUUCAAGAUGUUUUCGUCACUUCGCACUAGUACAAAAAUUAUUUUCGUUGGCAUCUUAUUUUUUAUAGGUGGUUCAUAAUUUCAUGGCGCUAGUAGAAAAAAUUUAGUGGACUCAACAAAAAAACAGCCUGUGUAAAUGAGUUUACACAGGCGGUUUUCGUAACUCAACCGUAUGUGUAAACUGUCCAUUUACGCGGGUUACAAUAACAACCGUCUGUGUAAAUACCAUUUACACAAGCGGUUGCGUAACGUCACCACCUGUGUAAAUGUGCCUUUUUACACAGGCGGUUUGUAUAGAGGACCGCCUAUGCUAAUUUAUUUACGUAGGCGACCCUCUUUAUGAAUUGUCUGUGUUAAGCUUGUUAUAAAUAUUCUUCGUCCACCUCCAGACAAGAACAGUUACUCCCGUGAGCUGUGCACGGUGGUGGACCAGACAAUUAUAGUUUCCAAGGGGGGGAGGUUUUGAUCUUCAAAGAAUUUGGUGAGAAACUUACAAAAGGUUAGUUAGUGCUCUUGAUACAAUUUUUAUAGUGAUUCUUUGGUUUAAUUUUUGUGUUGGGGUGCUCUAGAUCUAGGGUUCAUCAUACAUUCUUGCCUAGGGUUAGGGUUCAUAGAGCAAGAGAGAGAGUUUUAGCUAAAUUUUUAUGUAAAAUCAUAGUAAAUUAUAUAAAAUUAAAAAAUAGAAAAUAAAUACUUUUCGGAAUUUUUGUGAGUAGAUAUAUGCAAUAGAGUAAUGAUGAGCACAUUAUAAAGUUUUUAUUUUUGAUUCAGUUUUAGUUUUUCUUUUUUCAGAUGAAUAACACUUUAUAAAUUCAUACGUUAAAAUGUUGAAAAUCAUAAAAUGGCAAAUGAAUACUUUUUAAAAUCUUUGAGAGUAAACUUAUAAAAUAUGGUUAUAUUAAGCCAUGCUUGAUUAAAAAGUAAAGAUUAUUAUAGAAAUCCUUCAAUUAUUCCUAAAUUUUAUUCAAUUGUUUCUUAUAGUUAUGAAAAUGAGUUUAAACAAUUGUUUAAAUUCCAUAAAUUGUAAACUCUGUAAGGGGUAGGUUUUCAUCUCCGUUUAAUUAAAAGAGGUUAAUAUCUUAGUUAUGACUGUUUUCGGGGGUUAUAUUAGUUUUGUUUUUAGAUUGACCUACAUUGUUCUUAACUAAUUACAACUAAAUAUGGAGAGGUCAUUAUGGAUGUACAACUUAUCAAGAUUAGACCCAUCAUAUGUAGUGGAUCCAAAAAUUUAUUGAUGUCGCAAAGAUACUUGCCAAGAGAACAAAGGCGAAGCACAUAUGUUGUCCAUGCGCGGACUGCAAAAAUAUUAUAAUAUUUGACGAUGUAGAAGCAAUCACUUCCCAUCUGGUUUGCAGAGGAUUUAUGGAGGACUACUUGAUUUGGACAAAACAUGGUGAGGGUAGUUCUGCACCUUAUAUGCGGACAACUGACAACACUGCAACUAACACCAAUAUGGAGGGUCCAAUGCCACCUCUCAAUGAAUGUCAUGCUAUGCCAGAUGCCAAUGAAACCCAUCAUGUUGUGCUAGAUAUCAAUCAAACUCAUAAUGCUACGUCUGAUGUCAAUGAAACUCAGCAUGCUAACACAAAUGUCGUUGAAGAUGCAGAUUUCUUAGAGGCAAUAAUGAACCGUUGUGCGAAUCCUUUAAUAUUCUUCAUGAAGGGAAUGGAAGCAUUGAAGAAGGCAGCAAAGGACACUUUGUACGACGAGUUGAAAGGUUGUACCAAAAAGUGCUUGACAUUACGUGUUGUUCUUUAGUUCUUGACCAUGAAGGCUAGACAUGGUUGGUUCGAUGCUAGCUUCAAUGAUUUCUUGCGUGUACUUGGAGACCUUAUUCCUAAGGAGAACAAAGUGCCUGUUAACACGUACUAUGCAAAGAAGCUAGUCACUGCACUUACGAUAGGUCUUGAGAAGAUCCACACAUGUAGAAAUUAUUGUAUUCUAUAUCGGGGUGAUCAGUAUAAAGACUUGACAGCUGUCCAAACUGUGGUGCCAGUAGGUACAAGAUAAACAAAGAUUAUCAGGAGGAAGAGAAUCUGGCCUCUGUUUCUACAGGGAGGAAGCGAAAGAAGACCCAAACAAAGACUCAACAAGACAAACGCUCAAAGCCUACUAGCAAUGAAGAAGUGGACUAUUAUGCAUUGAGAAGAAUUCCUGCUUUGGUGAUAUGGUAUCUCCCCGUGGUUUAUCGUUUGAGGUGUUUGUUUGCAAACCCUAAAGACACGGAACUUAUGACCUAGCAUGCUUCUGAUGAAAGGAAAGAUGAUGGAAAGUUACGACAUCCAGUCGAUGCAAAGCAAUGGAAAGAUUUCGAUAAGAAAUAUCUGUACUUUGCUGACGAUCCACGGAAUGUAAUGUUUGCACUGAGUACUGAUGGAAUGAAUCUAUUUGGCGAAAGGAGCAGCACACACAACACAUGACCGGUGAUCCUGAUAGUAUACAACCUUCCUUCAUGGUUGUGUCAAAAGAGAGAAUAUCUUUUGCUAACUAUUCUUAUAUCUAGACCUACAUAAUCUGUAGCUGAUAUGGAUGUAUUUCUAGAGCUCUUAAUGCAAGACAUGCAAACACUAUGGGAAGUAGGUGUGGACAUGAUCGAUGCGUUCUGCAAAGAGACAUUCACACUGAGAGCAAUUAUUAUUGUCACAAUUAAUGAUUACCCUGCUCUCUUCUCAUUAUCAGACCAGUUCAUAGGAAAGGUUGGUUGUGUAGAGUGCAUAGAUGGAACAUGGCACGUGUCUCUUCUUGCAUCUAACAAGAUAGUGUACAUGGGGCACAGAAGAUGGUUACCGGCAGGCCAUAAGUACCACUUACAAAAGAUAAAUAAGUACUUCGACAAUAUUGACGAAUCAAAAUCUACUGCUCCAUCAGGUUGUAGUAAAGGGCAUAGAGUGUACAAGAUAGUUGAGAAUGUGAAGUUUGUUUUUGAAAAGAAGACCGAAGAUGGGAAACCAAGAAAGAUUGUGAAGGCAAAUGAAGGGGACACAUUCAAGAAGAAGUCUAUUUUCUUCAAGCACUUAUAGUACUGGGAAGACUUGGACGCACGACAUGCGAUCGAUGGUAUGCAUGUUCAGAAGAAUGUGUUUUAAAGCAUAAUUAGAACCUUGCUAGACAUAAAGAGCAAGACAUAGGAAGGUCUCAAUUCACGUUUGGACAUGCAAUAUUUAAAGAUCAUAAAAGAACUUCAUCCUGUACUCCUAGAGAAUGGGAAGUACCAGCUACCGGCAACAAGCUACAACUUGAACAGAGGGGAGAAACAUGCAAUGUGUGUGUGGUUGAAGAAUUUAAAAGUUCCAUCUAGUUUCUACUCUAACAUAAGGAGUCUUGUGUCGAUGAAAGACCUUACACUCACCAACUACAACUCACAUGAUUGUCAUGUCAUGCUAACCACUUUUCUUCGUAUCGCCAUUAGGGCUAUAAAUCUAGUGUUCUUAAAGAUGACAAUCACACGGUGUGGGGGUAUAAACCCCUAUACCCUCAUGGGCCUAUAUGGGCCGCACCAUCAGAGGUGGCUCGGCCCACAGGAUGAAGACGUGCGGCGCACGACUGGUCGGCGUGCACCGCAAGGCUACAAGAUAUUGUACCAAAUAGGAUAGUUUGCUUGUAACUCUGUCCCUUCAGGAUAUAUAAGGAGGGGCAGGGGUCCCCUAGAGGACAGGUCAUACACAAUUGAUCUCAACACAAUCCAAUACAAUCAGACGCAGGACGUAGGUAUUACGCCCACACGGCGGCCGAACCUGGAUAAAAACCUUGUCUGUGUCUUGCGUCACCAUCAAGUUCGUAGCUUGCGCACCGUCUACCGAUAAACUACUACCGUGGGCAUACCCCAAGGUAGACUGCCGACCAGCUUUCGUCGACAGUGGCGCGCCAGGUAGAGGGUGUGCGUACAACUCUCAUAGACGAACAAGAUGGCCAUCAUCCCCGACUUCGCGGCCAUGGCGGGCGGCUUCACGUUCAUCGUCAGCUUCAACAGCUUCACCGCCAUGACCGCAGAGGAGGCGUAGAUCCGAUCUGUGUCGAUCACUUCUUCACCGACGUCGGCUGCGGCUCCAACCACGCUAGCUACGGUUUCGACUACACCAGCAACGUCUCCGACCACGCCGACAACGCGUCGCCGCUUCUCUGCUGCAAAGGGAGGCAGAUCGAAGACACCGACCUGCUCAGGCUAUCGACCAAGUUGUUUGGCCUACUUGCUCUGACCACGACUCGCAAUAAUAAUCGCCGCGAAGAACGGCGCUACGACAACCGCGACCACCGUCAUGACAGCAAGUCAAAAAGCUCGAGGGCCAGACAAUUCUCUCACCACCGACCAGACUUUCGUCCAAAGAUAAGUACACUUCUAAUAUUUUAUUUAUUUUUGGCAUAAUAUUUUUUUAUUAUCCUUCAAAAACAACUUUUUGUUUAGCCACACUAGUUUUUUCUCCUACACGAGUUUUCUAGAGCCGGUACUGUCUCCGACUCCUCCCUACACGUGCAUGAGAUCCGUCCUCUGCGUUCCGGGGGUCGGCAGUAGCUCUCUGGCGAGGCUGGCAAUCCCACGCGUGUCUAGGUUCCGCACCUCAUGCUGAUUGUUGGCUAGACCAGAGCUGGUACAAGCUCUAGGAUGAAUUAACUACUUGUGCUAAUUUUAUAACAAAAAAUCUAAAACUUAUCUCAGUGCUGAUUUUUUAUCUAGAGUUUAUUUAUACAUCAUGUACUACAUAUUCUCUAUAUUUAUUUUUUCAGGAGUUUGGUCCAGUCGACAAGCUACGCUCGGGGACUCGUCGACUAUUCCCUACGCUGUGCCCCGGGACUGCUCCGACCACCAAGCACGUUUACGUUCCCAACCACGCUCGGGGACUUGUCGACUACUCUCUACGCUGUGCUUGAAGACUGUGCCGACCACCGAGCACGUUUACGUUCCCAACCACGCUCGGGGACUUGUCUACCAGUCUCUACGCCGUGCUCGGGGACUGUGCCGACCACCGAGCACGUUUACGUUCCCAACCACGCUCGGGGACUGGCCGAUCAGUCUCUAUGUCGUGCUCGGGGACUGUGCUGACUACCGAUCGUGCUCAGAGACUCAUCAAUCACUCCCUGCGUUGUGCUCGCGACUUGCUUCGAUCACUCUCCGACCGCAGCUUGGGGACUGCUUUUCUCAGUUACAUAUGAAUUGGACUAGAUAAUUUUAAUUUUUUAGACCUUGCUACAAGGCUCAUACUUCGCCUUCCAGCAAGCUCGGGGACUACAUCGGUACGAUGCAUCUAGCGAUGCAUGUUAGUAUCCGAAAUUUUAAAAUGAUUUUCUUUUUAGACCCUGGCACCACGUGCCUAUGUCACCUACUACCAGGCUCGGGGACUAAGUGGGCACACUUCACCUUGCGAUGAAUAUGCUUGUUUUUUUAAGGUCUAUACUUUUCAGAAAAGUAAAGUGGGCACACUUCACCAAGAAAGAAAUCUUUUUGAUUUAGAGCACCAUGCAUUCUUCGAACAACCUGCUUCUUCGAUGUCAAUGUUGAUCAACUGUCUUUUGAGUUGGUCAAAAUACCGUUGCAACUGUUUGGGUGACUUUCCUGCUUAUUGAAGACGUCAAGCCUCACUAAUCGAAGAAACUCGAAACGGCGUGUUACAUCAUAAUACAUGGUGCUCGGGGACUAGCUGUGGGGGUAUAAACUCCUAUACCCUCAUGGGCCUAUAUGGGCCGCACCAUCAGAGGUGGCUCGGCCCACAGGAUGAAGACGUGCGGCGCACGACUGGUCGGCGUGCCCCGCAAGGCUACAAGAUAUUGUACCAAAUAGGAUACUUUGCUUGUAACUCUGUCCCAUCAGGAUAUAUAAGGAGGGGCAGGGGUCCCCUAGAGGACAGGUCAUACACAGUUGAUCUCAACACAAUCCAAUACAAUCAGACGCAGGACGUAGGUAUUACGCCCACACGGCGGCCGAACCUGGAUAAAAACCUUGUCUGUGUCUUGUGUCACCAUCGAGUUUGUAGCUUGUGCACCGUCUACCGAUAAACUACUACCGUGGGUAUACCCCAAGGUAGACUGCCGACUAGCUUUCGUCGACACACGAUUGUGCUACUUCUUUAAUAAGAUAUCUGAGAAGAUAAUUAUCCGUGAUGAGUUAGAGUCCCUACAUAAAUUCGCUGCAAAGAUAUUGAUCCAGUUGGAUAUGUGCUUUCCCCAUCGUUGUGCACCUUGUUGUUCAUUUGGUGCCUCAAAUAGAGGCAUUGGGUCCCAUGUAUUUCUAUGAAAUGUGGACGUAUGAGCAUUUCAUGUCAAUAUUGAAUGGCUAUAUGUCAAAUCGUGCUCAUCCGGAGGGUUCCAUGAUAGAGGCUAUUGGUAUUUUUAACAUCACUUCAUAUUAAGUUGUCAUCCCGAACAUGAUGCCAAAAACCAAGGAUAAAAAUAAUCUACACGCAAUAACUCUAAAUAGAAUAUAUCCACAAGCGCACACAUAAUUCUCCCGCUGUAGCAUUUCACCCAGAAAGUAUUUCGAGUAUCAUUGAUUUAUUUUAUGCCAAAAGGAUAAAGCAGCAUUCUAUUCAUUAGUCUUAGGUAAACUUAUAAGGACUAAAGAAAUUAUAAUUAUGUAAAUCUAUCACAACCAAUAGUAUUAAAGCUUUAGCAAUAACUAGUCAAUAGUAAAAUAUGAUAAAUGAUAAAUGAUAUCUGAGUAAUGAAGUAAAUGGUAUUCCAGAGAUAGAGAAUAAAGACUCACUAAUGUAGCAAGGCAAUCUUGAUAUUCAAAUAAAAUAAAAGAAACCUAUGUAAUUACUAAUAUAAAGUCUACAGCCUACGCCAUGCUACACAUUUUUAUCUAGAGUGUGAUAAACUCAGAAAACAUCGUAAGGAGCAUCAACGAAUGAGGAUUUUAAGACACAACAGCCACCUCCUUCGCGAUCGCGCUCGGCUAGUCCUACGUACGGGGGGUGGACUACAGAGGAACCAACACAACUGUCACUUACGCGGACUACCACAUGAUCCGACACAUCAGGGUGCCUCCAUAGAAAAGUACCCAAAAGCCAAAGCACGUAGCUAUCCCUGGAAAACAACAAAUUAUAGGAGUUGAUGGUGUAAUGGAUUAUAGGAGUUGAUGGUGUAAUGGAUUUGGAGGAUGUUAACCAGUUCAGCGAGAUGUCUCUUUUUACAAACUUUCAAGUGAAUAUAAAAAUGUUGAGAAAAGUAUCCCACAAACCUCAUUGCCAUGGGUGCGCCACGACGUACAUGGAAGGACUGUAGCACGCUAAAUUCUAUAUAUUAUCAUUACUCAUAUAACUCAUGUAUCACUUAUCAUUUGUACCUUAUGCUACUCUUUCUUAUUAAGCAACAUGUUUACAUUUCCCAUUUGUUUUAUACCUUUGGAUGAUGAAGUGUUCAUAUCAAGUGCUUUUAGUUAUACAUCUUUGUCACAUGAAGAGCAUGAUUAUAGAAAGUUGUAAGAAAAGUUGUAAAUCUAGUCACAAGUAUUCCAAAAAGUAUUCCUUUUACAAUUUAUUACAAAUUUUUAAAUUUUCAAACAAUCCUAAGCCAUAUAUUUAAAUUUUCAAACAAUCCUAAUUAACAAACUAUUAAUUACUAACUAAAUUAAUUAACAAACCCUAAGUACAGGAAUCACUAACCCUAAUUAAUAGUGCAAUUAAUUACUAACUAAAUUAGUUAACAAACCCUAAGUAUAGAGAAUAACUAACCUAAAUUUUGGAGGAAAUUGAAAAAUAUAUUAUACAGCCGGCUGUUAAUGAAAACCGCCUAUAUAAAUGUAUUAGUACUGGCGGCCCGCAAAGACCGCCGCCUGUACAAAUGUAUUAGUAUAGGCGUCUGUCUUAGCGGACCGCCUGUACUAAUACAUUUGUACACGCGGCGGUCUAUGACGCCCGCCAGUGUAAAUGAUUAGUACAGGCGGGGGUCAAAGACAUAUGCCUGUACUAAUAUGCUCAUUGUGUAAACCCUGAGUGCGGGCCACGAAAAUUUCAAAUAGACUUAUGCGGUUUUAUUAUGAGAGAAAUAAUUCCAAGUGACGGAGCAUAUUUUAAUCAUGAGGACGAUUUAGUGAGUGAUAAAUUUAGAGCGCUGACACACAUAGCAGGUCUAAAUCUAAAGCGAAAUGAUAUAUAAACAUUGAAUGGUUGUGUGGAUAACAUCGACGUGUAUAUAUGUAAUUUUAUGGCUCAUGUUUAUAUAUAUAUACUAGCAAAAAUGCCCGUGCGUUGCAACGGGAGAAAAAAAACUAUCAAAUCUAUAUUUAUAUCUCUGUUACCUAAUUAUAUGUAUCUACCUAAUAAUAAAGAGGUAAAAUUUUAGCCUCUUUCUUUUGUCCAUCUAUUUUUCUGUCUUCCUCUAACUACCAAACGAUGAAGAGUUUCUUUUAUCUGGACUUAUGUAUAUAACUCGUGCUCAUAUGAGUUAAAAUAACUUGCGUCUAAACCAAUAUGGAGUAGAAAUCCUAAUAUAAAUAGAUUCCUCACAUCCUAAGUAUUCUAAAUAGAACUCUUAAUAGUCAAAUAGAAAAUGAUAAGAAUUACGUUCUUUAUUUUGUUGCGCUUUCUUUAUUUGGUUAGAUGUCAAUUGGAGGCAAAAGAAAAAUCGAAGUCCUAAUCUGUAGUUCCUUUCUAUAAUAAAAAGGCAAAAUUUCUGAUUGUUUUGGAUUUUGGUCUAGCCCAAUUAUUCGCUUUUUUGGUCUAAAAUUGGUUUAAACUCGUGUUAGGGCUUCCGAGUUAGAUUAAAUUCAUAACUUUCCUUUUUUCUCUAACCUAAUUAGACCAGAAGUCCUCGUGCCAUAAACAGAAAAUAAACUAAAAAUAAUAGAAAAUCAGAUGCGAACGAGAGGAGCAUCGUUUAAUUAAUCUAACUGGUAAACAUAUAAAGAUAUGGUGGACUGAAAUUUUCAUAAUUGUAUAUUAAAUAAAUUGGAAAAUUUUGAUCAGACGAAAAUUUUGAUCAGAUGAAAAUUUUGAUUGAAAUUUUGUCUCUUUAGUAUUAGAAUUAGAAGUUUCUCCCCUAAAUUCUCCGACAGAUUCCAGUUAGAGAAGCAGGGGCCACGUCACCCGGAAUUCUCCUGGCCAUCAGAUCUCUCAUCAGAUGGCCACGAUUUUUUGAAGCGGAUUCUAUCGGAAGCCAAUUCUGCUGAUUCUCGUUGGAUUCUUCGGUUUUCCUCCUGCUUCCUCUGCUUCUCUUCCGAAUCUACAGAGGCAAAUAUAUAUCCCAACUUCCGCUUCUCCAUCUAGCUUCUCACCCCCUCCUCUCUCUCCUCUUCGCUCAAUCUCGCUCUCCUCGUCUCUGAUGCGGGCAGGGCGAUGGCGCGGCACAAGCAGGCUACGGCGUCGGCGUCGGCCCUCCUCCUCCGCCGCCCUCCCUCGGCUGCCUCUCAUCUCUGUUUCUCCCUCCCAUUCCUCUAUCUACCCUUCUCGCACGAGGCGGUAGCAGGCGCGAGGCGGCGGCAGGCGUGACGAGACGGCGGCCCCUGCGGGUAGAGCGCCAGUGCGGUUGGGGCCUGGUGGCCACCUCCCUCUCCCUCAUCAUUCGCGUGGGAUCCUCAAUGUCUUAUCCCGCCGAGGAACGGGCGCUCCUCUGGUUGCCAAAACCCUAGCUACCUAUAUGCGUGCUACAAAUUGGUUACAUGCUUGUUACCUCCUCUGAUCUGGUUUCGUUAUUGUUUUUCAGGAUUGAUUUCAGCUUGUUUUCUUUCCUUCCUCGUCUAUGAUUGUUCAGGUACAAAGAAAGGGAGUUUCAGCAUGUUCAAGACAACAUGUGUAUAAUUCCUGUUAUUUCCUAUGGCUGAUUCCACAGUUUGGUUGAGGUACAUUACUGUGAUUACAGACAAUUUUAGAGAUCCAUUAAUUACUGCGAUUACAUAGAAUUUUAGAGAUUCAACUUUACUUAGAAAAUACAAAUUUAUGCAAUAGAUAGUACAAUGGCCUAAUUGGAAUUAUUUUUGCACAAAAUGACCAAUAGGAGAUGGCUGUCCACCUUAAUCCGGUUGCCAUCAAGUAGCCGGGGGGGGGAAUAAAAAAAACUCUACAUAAUUAGUUGUUAAGAACGUCUAAUUCAAUACCGAAAAUAUUCAGUGUAAGUCAAAUUAGGCAAUGUGCAUGUCUCUGUUAGGUAGUUUUUUCAGUUGUUAUGGAAGGAAAGUAAAGUUUGGUUAUGGCUGCACCGUGUAUUAUGUGGUUUAUUUGAUUUUCAUGUGUACUUGCACUUACUUGCAUUGUCCCAUUUUUUCACUAUAGAUGGUUUAUUUGAUUUGAUCCAAAAAUUUAAGCUUGCAAAAGGAUCCUGUACAAGCAGACAACCAAUACUCCAGCUAAAGAUGAAAAACGAGGUGGACUGGAACUUCUGACUCCUAAUGAUUCUAUAGUUGGGUGCCAUGUCAUGGAAUCCUGCUUAACAUAACCUAAUACAUAAUUUUUUCAUGCUCAUAGUUAAUUGGAUCUGAUUAUCUGAGACAUGACUGUUCUGUCCAUAUUGUGGAUGUUGGCUUCGUCCUGCUAUUAUGCUCCCAUCCUCUGGAGAAUCAGGUCACUGUCAUUUUUUUUGUUUCUAAUUUUGUAUUUCUCAUGUUAAUAUGUUAUUUAUAUUUCAUUUUCUUCAGCCGGGACCUUAUCAGCAACACAACUCUGAAUUAUAGUCACAAUCUGUUGGUGUUGCAGCAUGAGGAAUGUUUUUUUUGACUUUGUAUUUUGAUGAUUAUUAUAUAUUAAGUGGCCACAAAGGUCAAAAAACCUGAUGCUCUGCUAAUCAUGGAUGAGGUUGACAGUAUGACUGCUGGAGAUAGGGGUGGUGUUGCUGAUCUUGUUGUUUGCAUCGAGAUAUCCAAAAUUCCUAUUUUCUGCAUUUUAAAUGACCUUCAUGGUGAGAAAUUGAAGAGCAUUGUUAAUUGCUGCCUGAUGCUCAAAUUCAACAAACCAAAGAAACAACAGGUGUCCUCCCCAUCUGCACAUGGAAUCUCUUUGUUACUAAUUUAUGGCGAAGAUUUGUCUAUCCAUGUUUAUUUAACAAAGAUACAUAUAGUUGCUACAUGAUUAACAAUAAUAAGGAUACUUCAUAAUAGGUAAAAAAAUGAAUGUCCCAAUGGCUGUUGUCCUCAUUUUUUCAUGCAGUAGCUUCGUCUUCUUCUUCUAUCUCGAAUAUUUUAGAUUUAUCUGUUUUUCUUCAGAUGUAUUUGUGUUGCUCUUUAUGUUCCUGCUUGGUCAGUCCCCACGUGCUCUCUCCUCCUUUUCAUUGUGUUGGUUCUAACAGAUGACUUAGGCUGCAAGAAUUUGGGUCUCUAUUUCUUUCCUCUCUUACUAAUAUAGUUGAUUUGACACAGCAAAUAAGCUAUUCCCCUUGCCAUACAAGAUGCUAAAUUCCCGGUGCUUCUCUAGUCUGCCAUCAAUGUGAGGUACCUGCAAACAAUAUGGGAGCUUCCAUCUGUGCUUUGAUUGCCCGAUGAGCAUGUUGUUAGUGCACAUUCAAUAAGGCCGGUGAUUUUGUGCGAUUUGGUCUAUAGUUUGUUGCUUCAUCCAUUCCCUCAGUAUGCAUACUUUGUGUUCUGCAGCUUGCUGCAUUGGGCACAAUUUGGUCUAGAGGUGUGAUUUUCUGUUUACAAGAUCCACUAGAAUGAGGAUGUUGCUUCUCCAUAGGUGAGGUUUAUAUUUAAUUGUCAUCAACUAAGAUCUAUAGAAUAGAAAUUAAAGCAAAUUCAAUUCAAAAAGGCAACUUUUUUUACAAUGUGCCUAUUAUGCAUAUUCGCUCCUGCUACAUGUUGCAGUGGCACAAUAUCAUUUCUUCUUUGCUAUCUGUUCUUUUAUGAUUUUGUUUCAAGAAUAUUAGUUUGGUUGUCAAAGUAUCAGUUUUUUUCAAUUAUAACAUUUGUUGAUGCUCAACUUAGUUAUAAUCACAUAGAUCCAUCAUGUAAACCAAGGGGACUAAAACUCUGUUCUAUCAGAUCAGUGCGUUAUCCUUGUUUUGGCUGAACUACUUAGUUUUUUUUCCUAUUCAUUGUUUUAUGAAUAUUUCUAAUUUUUCAUAUAGGACUCCAAAUGAUGUCAGAUUUUAUGUUACUCAAUGAUUUUUGAUCUCUUUGUCCCUUCUCUGCCCCCCUCUUGAUUGGUUCAUAUGCUGUUAACAACUUCAUGCUAUGUGAACAGAUUCGUCCAGUUGGCAGAUCACUGAUUCAUUCGCUGACCCCUACGAAUCCAAAUGUUUGUGAAGGCAUAGAAGAACUAGACCAAGUCCUUCCACCUAACGUAGUAAACUACCAGUAUAUGUAAUUUUUACCUGCACAUUGUACCGUAUGCAUAUACCUAUACAAAUGUACUAUACCCAUCGUGUACAUGUAUAUCUCCAUCACCAUGGUCUUAUUAUGGGCAUUAGCAGCAUGUGUAUAACAUAAGUGUGUUUACUCACCUGACCGCGCGAUGGCGCGCGGAUUUCACUAGUAUAGAUAUACUCCUUGGGUCAUUGGAAAUAAGACAUAUUCUAAAAAUUGUAGGAUAGUUUAUGGGGUAACUCAAAUAACGCAUGUAACCUUAACAAUAGAGAGAUUUUUACUUAUACUAUAUUUUGAAUGUGCUAUAGAUACUAAUGGCAAGUACGGAUGUGAUUGGGACAUUGGGAGAGUUAAAUAAUUUAUAGUAACUCAUAAUUUGAAAUAGAUUUUGAAUGCUUGGCUAAAAUUAGUAGCCAAAAUUUAUUGUUUAGUCAUUUUAUAAAAUAGAAAACUUUUUAGAAAAAAGAGGUCUACAACAGCUUUGCUAUUCUAUCAAUUUUAUACUAAAAAGCAUAGGCAAGCAUCUCCAGCAAAGAAAAUAUAAUAAAAUUUAUGAUAUUUUUUGUUUACUGCAUGGAUCUACAUAUGUGGAGCUGAACAAAAUUUGUUUUGUAAUUUUUAGAUUUUUCUAUGAAUUACUAUGUAUUUAUCAAUCGGUUUAAAUAAUAAAAGAAAAAUAAACUAAUAUGAUAAACACUUUGCAUCUAAGUCCUUAUAAUUUCUUUAUUCUCAAUGUGUGUAAUGUAUAAAAGAGAUUUUACAUUGGGAACUUUAGAAAAUCUUUUAUUCUGUUUUUUCUCUCUGGCACGGUUGGAAGCCAACGAUCUAUUCGUACGGACGCCGAGCCGAUUCGGUUAUAGACGGCAGAAAAAAUUUGGUGCAGACUAAAAUUUUCACAAUUUAGUAGUAGGGAUAUAUAUAUAUAUAUAUAUAUAUAAUUUACCAUAUAUAUAUAUGAUUUAUGUGUAUGAUGUUUAGCACUGUAUGUGGUGGGAAAAAUUAAAAUUUGAAAUAUAUAUAAAAAAUUAUUUACACAGGCGGCGUAGUGUGAGCCACCUAUGAAAAUUAGGUUUUCACAGGGGGCUCACCUAGUCAGCCGCUUGCGUAAAAAUACAUUUACAUAGGCGGCUGACUAGGUGAGCCGGCUGUACUGUGGUCCAUUUUGUACUGACAUCUAGUACAGGCGGUGGGCUUGGCUGCCUGUGAAGAUGCUUUUAACACUGCCUGUAAAAAUGUUUUCUGUAGCUGUGUCGAUAUAAUGUUUUAAAAAAUUAAUAAAAUCUUCCUUUAUAAAAAAGCAUCCAUCCACCGAGACAUAUGUUCACUACACCACAGACCUCCCACAUUGCUCUACCCUAAUCACAGGUUCCUGUCAACUCCUCUAGCAUGAUGCCUCCAUCUUUAGCCUUGCGUAAACUGCCAUCUCCCACCACCCCGCACAGGCGAUGUCUAUAUCGUCUCAGCCACCAUCAUCGUCAUGUUGUGACCACGAACCCAAACCCUCUAAUGAAAAAACGACUCCAAUAGAACCCAGAAGGAAAAAUCUUGGUGGAAAAAAGAUUUUCAUAAAAAUUUUGGCUUUUUAUUAUUAGAUAUAGACUACAUACUUCAAUAUUGUGUUGAGUUAAAUUCUCCAACCUUAAUUAAGUUUAUAGGAAAAUACACCAAUAUUUACAUGUAAACAAAUAGUUUCUUUAGAAAAUAAGAGCAGAUAAUAUUUAAAGGAAGAGAAAAUCUUUUUUUUUUUAAAAAAAAAACAUAGAGGAAGAGAAACUUUUUGUUUUUUUUACAACUCUUCUACGAGAAGACUCCGUGUAUUCCAGCAAACAUGUGUUUUCUCAAGGACUUUUGUGUGAAAAUUGUGGUCCACUCGUAUUCCUGGACGCGAGCGAAACCGAACCGGAGACAGACACGACGAGCUGCCCGAUUCCUUCCCCACAUCCAUCGUCAAAAGGAGAAGAGAGAGAGAGAGAGGAGCAAACCCUAGCUCCAGCUUGCCUCCUACUCCGCCAUCAUCCAGAUCCGGCCGGUGCGUGCGAUGGCGCUGCGCGUUCUGGCCCGUAAGCUGAGGUUCCCUGCCACGUCCGUUCUCCAGCGGGCGUCGACCCCCGUGGUGUCGCCGCCGGCGAGCUCCCGACUUCUCACCUCCCACUCCUCUCAGGUGCGUGUUCUCCGUUUUCUGCUCUGGAUUAUAUUGAUCAGCGGAGCAAUCUUCUUCUGAGAUCAUGAGCGCGCGGUUAAUAUUGCGAGCUGGACUGGAUUCGCCUCCAGCUGCAGGACCGUACCUGAUGUUUGUCCCAGUAUGGCUUAGGAUUUCACUCGCAUGGUGCAAGGAUUUUUGUUUCCUCUAGUUGAUUGAAUUGAAUUCUAAAGCAGAUCACUGUAGCCCGCUAUUCUGAUCGAAUAAGUUUUUUCUUUUUUCAUCGAAGUGUGAGAGCUGAAUAAGCUAAGGAGGAAACGAUCGAUCAUGUAGAAAGGGAAAAAUUGGGAUUAGUCUCUUUAUGCAUUAAACUGUUGACAGAUGAAUCAGGUGUCACCUUGCUUUGUCGUCGAAAAUUUUAACCGGAACUUCUCAUGUCGGUUUGUGUAUGAGAGUAAUAUAAUAUGGAAGAUGAACUAUCUAUUCUCUUCUUCUAUCAUUUACCUGGUACUACAGAACUGUCAUGUUUUAGUAAAUCGUUUAGAAGUACGUGAUGUGUACAAUCUUGGUUAUUUUCAUCUUGACCCUUUUCUGUAAGUAAUCAAUAAGACUUUUAGGAAACAGUGUCUCUUGUGCCAUAUUUCUUACUCAACUUUUAAUCUAAAAGGACAUGUCUUUUUAGUUAGGAAUUAUUUGGCCAUACUUAGACUAAGCUGGAGUCCCUGCCUUAUGCAUUUGUAGUUCAGCUUCAGUAGCCAUUCUAUUUGUCUGUUUUCGAUCACCAUAUGCCAAAAUAGCUUAAGGGCAUAUAGAUAAAUGUGUUUUCUCAAACAUAAGCCAUAACCCUUCAAGCACCUUCUGGGCUGCUGCUGCCCACUGCUUGUUGCACACCUGUACCACCUCUCUUCUGAGCCUUUACCCCGAUUGUGUCCAUCGGAUGAUUGCUAUGUUGAAAUUACUCCAGAUUAAUAUAUUGACUGGGUUUCGAAUCUCUGCUAGCAAUAUGAAUCUAAGUAAAUGGGGACACAAGCUGAACUUGAUGUAUGUGACGUGGGCAUGAGUGAGAAGCUCACUGUAAGUUGGACCAAACUCUCAGUAUAUGUGUGUAUUGUCUACUGCUAAGCUUGGCCAAGUUGCUCUCCUACCAAAAGGCACACUACAUCUGCCUCCGGUCCAUCCAACAUCAGGAACUUAUUUGGUCCUUGUGGGACUGCUGUUUCUUUUCCAAAUAAUGCGCAUUAUGGCAGAAUUUUAUCUAUUAUAUGUAAGAGAGUAUGUAGGAGAUAUACAAGGCCCAACUUGGCAAAUUACAAAAUUCUGAAACAAUUGGGCAGUUCCUUCAAUGUAGAUAUUAGGAUGGGUGUGAGUAAAGCUAUGUGCUCCCUAAUCUAGAAUAUAUCAGCAACCUUUUUUUUUUGUUUGUUGCACCAUGUACUCAAGAUGACUUUGAACUGUUUGGUUCUGCACAUGGCUUUCCUAAACUGUUUGCCUAAUUCUCUAAUCUGCUAGUGGUGUCACCUAGUCUGUCAAAUUUGCAAUAGAGCGCCUGGUUGUCGUUUUUAAGGACUUACUUUUUAGUCUGUUCCCAGCUUUUCAUGACUUUCUAAAUUUAGUUUUCUGAGAUACCCAAGGUUUAUGCUACUUGGAUGCUAGCACUAAUCAACUUCUUUAUUUUUUUUUCUUGAAGCAAUUAUCAUGCAUGGUCGAUCACUCUUGCAGUCUACCUUGAACUGAGUUUCCAAUGUUAACAUGUGCCUCAGUUUGGUUUAAGUUUCCUUCUGAUCGUUUUAAAUAAUUGAAAAUUGCAGAGUGGAGGAGCCAAGAGAGCAGUGAAUGAGACCAGGAAUGCUCGACCAAGGUGGAGGAAUUACAAGAAACUGGAGAAGCGUUUUUUGUAAGUGAAACUUUAAAUUGCUCCCAUUUGAUUUCACCAAAUGGUAUGAUCCUAGUAUGUAACCUUUCCUGUGUUAUUUUUGUAUAAGGCGCGAUAUGGAGAAGGACAUGAAGAAUUUCAAGGAGCUUUCAUUAGCUAUGGACAACUUGCCAAGGAAUGUUGUACUCACUUCCUCUGUUGGUCUUGCGGUUUUGACAACCGGCUGGGCGUAUGCCAUUGGUGUUUUCGAUUGGAACAGAAUGGGGGACAGUGAACCUUCGGAUCAACAAGGUGUUGUGUAGACGCACCCCAUGAAUAAUCUAUGAGACUUUUAUAUUUAUGUAAGAGAAAUGAAAUGGUGCGGACAAGGAGAAGACUGUAUGCUUGUUAAGUAAGGCCUUGUUUAGAUCCAAAAUUUUUUCUGUUUUUGACACUAGCAAUUUCGUUUUUAUUUGACAAACCUUGUCCAAUCAUGGAGUAACUAGACUCAAAAAUUUAAUUGGAUGUUUGACUGUUUGGUUUGUGGAAUGAAGCUAUCUAUCACAAUUUCACUACUUAGUUUUUUUUGUUUGGUUUGUGGAAUAGAAUAAGGCCUUGUUCAGUUCACAAAAAGCAUGGUUUUUGGCUACUGUAGCACUUUCGUUUUUAUUUGACAAACAUUGUCUAAUCACGGAGCAAUUAGUUUUUAUUUUUAUCUAUAUUUAAUGCUCCAUGUAUGCGACCAAAGAUUCGAUGUGACGGAAAACCUUGAAAAUUUUUGUGAACUAAGCCCUUGUUUAGAUGCGAAAAGAUUUUGGAUUUCGCUACUGUAGCACUUCAGUUUGUUUGUGGCAAAUAUUGUCCAACUAUGGACUAAUUAGGAUCAAAAGAUUUGUCUCGCGAUUUACAGUUAAACUGUGCAAUUAGUUUUUAUUUUUGUCUAUAUUUAAUGCUUAAUGCAUAUGCCAAAAGAUUUGAUGUGAUGGGAAAUCUUGUGGUUUUCAGGUGAACUAAGGCCUUGUUUAGUUCGCAAAAAUUUUCAAGAUUCCCCGUCACAUCGAAUCUUUGGUCUCAUGCAUGGAGUAUUAAAUAUAGACAAAAAUAAAAACUAACUGCACAGUUUACCUGUAAUUUGUGAGAUGAAUCUUUUGAGCCUAGUUACUCCGUGAUUGGACAAUGGCCUUGUUUAGUUCGGAAAACUUUUUGGUUUUCGGAACUGUAGCACUUUCGUUUUUAUUUGAUGAACAUUGUCCAAUUACGAAGUAACUAGGCUUAAAAGAUUCAUUUCGCGAUUUACAGGUAAACUGUGCAACUAGUUUUUAUUUUCGUCUAUAUUUAGUGCUUCAUGCAUGUGUCACAAGAUUCGAUGUGACGAGGAAUCUUGAAAAAAUUUUAGAUUUUGGGGUGAACUAAACAAGGCCAAUGUUUGUCAAAUAAAAACGAAAUGCUACCGUAGCCAAAAACAAAAAUUUUUGCGAACUAAACAAGGCCUAAACAAGACCUAAGUUGAUCUGUCGCCACCUUGUUACUCCCAAGCUGAAAUGUGGUUAUUAUACUAAAUUUGAGCAAUUGAAUAAAUUUGAGCAAUUGACUCCUGAUGCAUCACUCGGUCACUCCAUCUAAAAUGGGUUGACGUCCGAAACCAAACACUCCAAAAGAGCAUCUCUAGUAGUUUCCACUAAAUUGUUUGGUAAAUAAAUGAGUUUUUCAACUAAAAAUAGGAGGAUUGUUGACUUUCUCCAACGUUUACAAUAUUUUGCUAAAAAAAAAAGACUUGGCCCACUCGACACUCAUGCUCACUGCUUCCUCCUAACUGCUUCCUCCCUAACUUCCAGAACUCACUGCUUCCUUCCCCACUUCCAGAACUUGAGUGACUCUAAAAUACUAUUCUUCACUUGGCCCCCAACACAAUCUAUCAUGGUAUUGGUAAUCACUUCAGUUAGCUCUUUAGCCAUCUUCUUAACCUUGUCCUCGUCCACAUCAUUAGCCAUGUUUUUGAGUUCUUCGGCUAACUUGAUAAACUUUUUCGACGCUACCUCCGCCACAUGUGGUGCUACCACCUCCAUAACUAGGUAGCAGCCUAAAAUUAUACCUACUAGGAGCCAACCGAAGAAGUAAAGUGGUAGCAGCCUGACUUGAUUCUUCAACUUCUCACUCUCGAGCUCCAUCUCACGCCUAUGAUUAACAUAAACAACAAUCAAACCAGAAUGUUUGAGUUAAAUAAGAUGCUUCAUUUCAUAUUAGACGUCUCAUACAUACUAAGUCAUAAUAAGCACAGCAAGAUUCUUAACAAAAGACACACCAAGAUUAUGCUAAACAACAUGCAUACUAGGACAUUUAUUAGUUAAUUGGUUGAGCACCAUUAGUUUCAGUGGCACAUCACUUUACAAGGUCGCACAAGGUCUUAGGUAUGUUAACUGAGAUUUACUAGGGUCAUGAGCUAGCUUUAGUAUACGUACACAACAUCAAGCUAAAAGAAUCAACUUAGGCAAGCAAGAUUGUGGACUACAACACAACAAUUACUUGUUUUAACCAUAACUACAAGCAUCCAACAAACAUGGUCCUUAGCUUUUUGGAAAGCUUAUUAAGCUUUAUACAACUUUCUUACUAUUAUCACUCAGAGUUGAUUCAAUAACUAACAAGGUCAAACAUUACCAAGAAGCAUUUUUGUCUAGACUUAGACAAAAUCUGACAUUAAGCUUUAGAUAUUUGCAACUGGAGUUCUAGUUUACCAAAAGUUGUGUUCUUUAACAUUUUGGAAAGCUUUUUAGUUACUCAAACAACCACACGCAAGAAAAUCAUCACAUAGACAAACUAUCCAUUACUUAUUUUAUUAACAAGAGAGCAUAAAACAUAUGCCAUUCAAGAGCUCAACCAUUACUAGCAUAACUCAACAACAUUUCAUAAGAAUCAUCACAAGAAUUACAUACAUGUUCAUUUAUUAGCAAAACUUUCUUACGUUUUAUAGAUUAAAGAGAUAUUUAAUAAAGGGGCGGUAUGGCAAACAUUUAGUUUGGACCUGAGAUUUUUAUGGUUGGAAGAGGUUGUCAAAGCAUGACUACUGUAGAAACAUUACAUGCUCAGGUUUAAUAGAUUAAUUAUUUCAAUAAGAACAAGUUUUUAUUGCAAUAAAACAUGUGAGAGUAAGUUAAAUCUAAAGAUCCACAUUUUCUGUAUAUCCAUGCACUUAUAACUGAAUAAACAGUAAACGUAAUAGAGAUGACGUGCUGAUGAGUUUACCUGACCAAAAGACUGAACUUCACAUGGAGGUAGACACAGGUUUCAAUACGACGGACAUGGAACUGAAGCUUGGCCAAUUUUGCCAUGAUUUUGCUUUGAUUCUGCAGUCUUGGCUUCAAGGACUCGUCAUCACCGCCAGACUUCUGGCCACCAGAUUUCUCAUUGCCACCGGCUGUGGAAGAGUAGCCACGCCGACCGGUUAUACCCAACACGGUGGGGAUGGUGCAGAACCGAGAGCCGUUGGGCGCGGCACCAGCGACGGCGGCCGCCUCCUUGGCGCCGACCCGGGCGCGGUUCUCGGUCUUGGGGCCCUCAAGGCCGUUGGACCCAGCAGCAGGGAGGAGCAGCGCGACGAAGAGUCGUGGGUGCGUCGGCACUAGAAGCACGCGCGAGGCGGAGAGGAUUGCGGCGGCGGCGGCUGCUGCCAUAGGGCACUCAAGCGGCGGCCCCAGGAACGCAGCGCCGCGUGGUCCUAGCGCGGCGUCCUCGACACAGAGCAUCGCACCGCCGUAGUCGCCGUUCGUGCCGUAGGCAGAGUCGACCACCAGGAACGCGGAGUCACCUCCUCCCAUGGCGAAGGCAAAUCCACUGCCUUGGGCACCGGUGGUGAUGGGGACGGCGAGGGCCAGGCACGAACGAUUGGGCGCGGCGCCGCCAGCGACGGUGUCCGCCUCCCUGGCGCGGACCCAGACGUGAUCGUCGGACCCGGAAGGGAGGGAGAUAGGGCGCUCGAGCGGCGGCGCCAAGAACGCAGCGCCGCAUGGCCCUAGUGCGGCGUCCUCGACGCACAACAUCGCCCCGCAGUAGUGGGCAGAGUCGACGCCGACGACCACCAGGUGCGUGUAGUCACCUCCUCCCUCGGCAGCACCGCCGGGCUCCUGAGCGUCGCGAUGGCCCACGGAGAAGGGAAAUCCACCGCCUUUGGCUCCGGUGGUGGUGAUGAGGAUAGCGAGGGCGAGCCGCGAACGGUUGGGCGCGACGCUGCCAGCGACGGUGUCCGCCUCCCCGGCGCGGACCCGGGCGUGGUCGUCGGACCCGUCAGGGAGGAGCGGGGCGAAGACGAACCUUUGGAGCACAGGCGCCAGCAAGCGCGGGGCUCCGGGGAGGAUGGCGGCGGCGAUAGGACGCUCGAGCGGCGGCGCCAAGAAGGUAGCGGCACGCGGCGAGAGGGUGGCUGCGCGGCGAGACUGCUUGCCGGCGGCGCGAGACAGUAGCUGAAGCGGGGUGGGGGUUCGCGACGAGCCAGUGGGGUUUUGGGGGGUUAUGGAGGAGGCGGCGGCGGUGGUAGGGCGCUGGAGCGGCGGCGCCAAGAAGGUAGCGGCCGUGCGGCGGGACUGCUUGCCGGCGGCGCGAGCCAGGAGCUGGAGCACUCCGGCCAUGUCUCCGGGUGGGGUUUGCGGCGAGGCAGUGGGGUUUUGGGGGGAGGGGUAAACGAAGGCGGCGGGAGGGGGAUCAGAGCAGGCAGGGUUUUCCUCCGUCCCUCACCGUUGCCAAUGACAAUGGGUUUCGAGAGGCCGAGAGGGGAGUGGGUGGUUAAAGCAAAACUGGCUGAGGCGAAGGGAAGCGGGGACGUACGGCAGUGCAUGUGGCGACAAUGGAGGACGAAGCCCUGCUGCUGCUGCUGCGCUGCGACUGCGAGUGCUUUUCUGUUUCGCUCUUGCUCAGGCUCGUCGGCAGUCGCCUCUGUCUGGCCUUCCUCUCCAUGAGUUUUGAGUGCGUAGCAUCGUGGUGCGUUAUUCCGCCGGCCGUCGGUACACCACCAGGUAACUACGUGCAGCACGGACCGCCGGAGACCGGCCGGCAGGCCGGGCGUAGAGGUAGUAGAGCUCUAUCGCCUCGUCUCGUCGAAUGUGAGGAGAUCAGAAUGCGUCGCACGCCAAACCCCACGCGGCCGUCAGGCGUCAGUGACCGGUCACACUGACCUACUGCGCGCGCUGCCAAUGGGCGCCACACUGGCCUUGUAUUCCAUCUCAAAACCUAAAAUUUUUUAAGAUUUCUUUUCAUAUCGAAUCUUUAAACGCAUGCAUAGAGUAUUAAAUAUAGACAAAAAUAAAAUCUAAUUGUACAGUUUGGUCGGAAUUUAUGAGACGAAUCUUUUGAGCCUAGUUAUUCUAUGGUUGGACAAUAAUUACCACAAACAAACAAAAGUGUUACAGUGUCGCGAAAUUUUCCCUUCAGAAACUAAACGCGGCCUAGUUGGAUGUGCCACUCGAUGUGACGAAUAAUCUUAGGUCUGGUUUACUUCAACCAAAAAACCAAAAAAAAUUAAAAUUUUGAAUCUUGUGGCAAAUACAUAAAACAUUAAAUAUAGAUGAAAACAAAAACUAAUCAUACAAUUUACCUGUAAAUCGUGAGAUGAAUAUUUUAAGUCUAAUUAGUUUAUAAUUAGAUAAUAAUUAUUAAAUAAAAACAAAAAAGUUAUAGUAUGUAAAACUAUUUUUUUUGGAAUUAAACAAGACAUUAAUCCCUUGGGAAGAAAGGGCCGGAACGAAAGGCUGCUUGUAGCCGAUCGUAGUCCUUUAGACAGAGGGUGUGUGUGGGUGGCCGGGGGGGGGGGGGGGGAGCACGCUACUAUCUACAAGUUCAAACACAUGUGUGUCACCAAACUAUACUGUUGAUUGAUGCAUUUCUUUUAUAUAAGAAGAAACUAAUUAAGUCAAGUUAAAAGUUAAACAACUAUUUACUUAGGUAGGACAACUAAAAUGAACUACACGUACUCCCAUGUGAUAAAUAAAAAAAAUAAUUGGCAUGUUUAACUUUAUUACAGAGUAUUCGUUAUUUUAUGCGCUAGAUUCUUAAGAUGCAUCAAGUGAGAUUUUGUAACAAGUAUAUCUGAAUACAACACAUAAAUAUAUACAUUUCAAUUCUAAGAUUCGAUCAAAGUUUUCAUCAUAAAUUAAUUAAUGUUUUCCUUAGCGGAGGAGUGCUUAUGUAUGGGUGUGCGUCAUACGGUGUCAUCUACUACAUGCGCGCGGUGAAAUACUAUACGGCUAGCAGACGGAAGGCCCUGUUUAGAUUGUAGAUAAAAAUUUUUUAGGUGUCACAUCAGAUGUGUCGGAAGGAUGUCGGGAGGAAUUUUUAGAAACUAAUAAAAAAACAAAUUACAUAGCUCGUCAGGAAACUGCAAGACAAUUCUAUUAAGCAUAAUUAAUCUGGCAUUAGCACAUGUGGGUUACUGUAGCACUUAAGGCUAAUCAUGGAGUAACUAGGUUUAAAAGAUUCAUCUUGCGAUUUUUAACUAAACUGUGUAAUUAGUUUAUUCUUUUAUUUACAUUUAAUGUUCCAUAUGCAUGUGUCCAAAGAUUCGAUGGGAUGGAUAAAAAAAUUUUGGGUGAGGAACUAAAGAGGGCCUAGUACACGCUUGGAGCCUUUGGUGCCAUAGCCCAAAGUAAUACCAGCUGUCUCCACUCUUUAGUAGCAGUAGCAGCGGGUGUUUGGCUGGGGUUGUUAAAGUUUAACACAUACUGUAACAUUUUCAUUUUAUUUGUCAAUUAGUAUCAAUCAUAGUCUAAUUAGACUCAAAAGAUUUGGUUCGUAAAUUACUUUUUAGUUUUUUAAAUAGUCUAUAUUUAAUACUCUAUACAUGUGCCUAAACAUUCGAUUUGACGGGAGUUAAAGUUUAAUAACUGGACCAAACAGGGUACUUGGUCUGUAAAUAACUGUCUUUUACGCUUUACAAGAAAUAAUUUUAAUUACAUAGAUAUUAAUAAUAUUAAUAUUUAUGAUACAUAAUUAGUAUCAUUAGAAAGAUAUUUGAAUCUAGUUUUUUUAAUAAUUUUAUAAAAAUAUAAAUGUUGUACGUAUUUCCUAUAAAUUAAAUUAAACUUAUGGCAUAUACAUCAGCGAUGACAAUUAGAUUGGGACGCAGGAGUAAGGCCUUGUUCAGUUCCCAAAAUUUUUUGAUUCGGGAUACUGUAGAACUUUCAUUUUCAUUUGACAAUUAUUGUCUAAUAAUGGACUAACUAGACUUAAAAGAUUCAUCUCGCGAUUUACAGGUAAACUGUGUAAUUUGUUUUUUGUUUUCGUCUAUAUUUAAUGCUUCAUGUAUCUGACGAAGAAUCUUAAAAAAAAAAAUUCGUUUUUGAAGUGAAAGAACUUGGGCCUAAAGUAAUACUCCUCUACAAGUACAAGUACAAGUACAAGUACAAGGGCACAGUAAAAAACCCGGAAACUCUCAAGCAGAGGCUGUGUAAAAACCAGCAAUGGCUGCCUCCUACUCCUGCUACGGUACCAGUACACCGAGGCCUUGGUUAGUUCAAAUUUUUUUAUAAAAUGUACACUGUUGUAUUUUUGUUUGUAUUUGAUAAAUAUUGUCCAAUUAUAGAUUAAUUAGUCUCAAAAGAUUCGUUUCAUAAAUUACAAAUAAACUGUAUAAUUAGUUAUUUCUUUUAUUUAUAUUUAAUGUUUUAUAUAUGUGGUGUAAAAUUCGAUGUAACAAAUAAUAUGAAAAAAUUUGCAAACUUUUUUAAAACUAAACAAGACGCUACACCUAGCACCUGCAACUCCUAUUGGAACGGUCAAAAGCCAGAGAUAACGCACGAUCACAUCACGCAAUUGGCCCGCCUCGCCUCGGUUCUCUGAUAGGCAGCUUUUGAACGGUGAAGAUAGUACAUGCCCAGAUGUACAUACCACCAGACAUUUUCGCACUGCCGGGUGCCUGCCUGAAUUCCUUUCUGUCUGUACUGCUCCGCCCGGUGCCUUCUAUCAGCUCCCUCCACCGCACCAUCCAUGCUCUCCUCUCCUCUAGUACCGUAGGCUGUUGGCUACCCUUGUUUAGUUUGUAAAAAAAAUUAAGAUUUUCCGUCGCAUCGAAUCUUUCGACAUAUACAUUGAAUAUUAAAUAUAUAAAAAAAUAAAAAUUAAUUACACAGUUUAUCUAUAAUUUACGAGACGAAUCUUUUAAGUCUAGUUAGUUUAUAGUUAGACAAUAAUUAACUAAUACAAACGAAAAUGCUACGGUUUCUAAAAUCCAAAAAUUUUACCAUGUGAACAAGACCUAAAACCAAGGCUGUUGGCUCUUGUUCUGCCGCCUGUUAGCCUCUCGCCUCUCCACACACGACUCAACCUGCUUUCACCGGCUAUACAUUUUUUUUUUGGAAAAAAAGGGAAUUCUGCCAAUGCAUAAAAAGACUCUUUUUAUGUAGUGUGUACAUAAACAAAAAUUACUCCAUCUGUUUUUGCAUGAAUCAGGCCCCGUUUAGUUCUAAAAAAUUUAUAAAAUUUUCUAAAAUUCUUCAUCACACCUAAUCUUUGGACGCAUGCAUUGAGCAUUAAAUAAAAAUAAAAAAUAAAUAAUUGCAUAGUUUUGCGAAACGAAUCUUUUGAGCCUAAUUAGUCCAUGAUUGGACCAUAAUUAUCAAAUACAAACGAAAAUACUACAGUAACCAAACCCAAUUUUUUUCACCAACUAAACAAGGCAUCAAUUCCUAGAAUUCAUGUCAGUCAGACCUUUUUAAGUUUGACUAACUUUAUAAAAAAGAGGAAUGAUACCUAUGACAUAAAAUGAACAUCUUAUGAAAAUAUAUUGUAUGAUAAAUCUUAUUAUACUAAUAUGAUACUAUAAAUUCUAUUUUUUUAAAAAAAUGGUCAAAUUUUAAAAAUUUAACUUAAGAUAACUUUGGAAAUCUAUUUAUUUAGGGACUGAGGGAGUAUAUCAUCAAUAGACUAAUAUUCCAUGUAUCCUUUAAUACAAACUAAUGUUGAAUUUAUUAAAGUAAUUGAGGAUAAAGAUGUAUUGUGAGUAACAUUUGAUAGUCAAAGUACGUUUCUAAAGACUUUUUUCUUCACAAAUCCUAUAUGCAUUAGACAAAUAAACGAAGGGAGUAUUAUUACUAACGGAGAUGAUGUAGGGCCGCAACCCUAUUCUGUUGUACUACUUUAGUCGUACUUUUCAUUGAAUAAACAAUAUUUUUUAUCACAAUAUUUCAACAUAAGCCAAAUUUUAGCAAAACUACUCGGACCAAGUGAUUAUACACAUCCGUUUGCGCUGCCAGUAGAAUAUUUGCCCACUUCAAAUUAUGGCACUCGUUUGAUUAUAUUAAUGCACAACAGUGAGGUUGUAUAAUAUGAAUCUUACUUUUAUUACCAAUUCUUAUGAAAAAAAUUACAAUUGAUGAUUUUGGCAGACACUCCACUUGACCACCUAUGCACUACGCAAGUGGGCCCAAACCCUUUGGAAAUACUCUUAGUUGAUUAUAGAGGAGGUAGACACAAGAUGAUUUUGGCAGACACGCCACUUGACCACCUAUAUGCACUACGCAAGUGGGCUCAAACCCUUUGGAAAUACUCCUAGUUGAUUAUAGAGGAGGUAGACACAAGAAACGAUCGACCACUGGAAAUUGUGUUUUUAGAUGGGGUUCCUUGUGCGAGUCGACAAAAACCAUUCAAACUUUUUUACAAUUUUUAAUCUUCUCAAUGAAGUCGUGUUCAGAAUGAAAAUUUAUGGAGGGUAAUAUCGUCUCCAUGCAUCUAUAGUAAAAUUUAUGUAUUGUUUGCAAACUUUUUGGCAUACACGUUUGAAAAAUUUAUGGAGGGUAAUAUCAUCAUUGUGACAUCUUUUCCUUAUACUUCACACGUGUACGACAUUCCGAAUACUUAUACAAAAAUAAUUGUGAGAAUUACAGUUGUAGAAGGGGAUACACAUGAUAUAUGCCCCAUAAAAUCUCAUUGGAACACAAUUUAAUUAAAUGGACUAAAAAUACAAUUGGAGGUGCUUUUAGCCUUUUUCUUAUCAACAUUAAGAGGUGGUUCACAAAAAGGAAUUGUAUAUGAAGAUAACCAUUUUUUACGAGGGGGUAUCUUAAUUAUGUAAACUGCGUCUCGAAAUCACUUCCUGCAGCAAAGGUUCAAGAAAGGCUAUUAGCAAAAACUAUGUGGUGGUAUGGUAUCUGUUUAGAAAGGUUCUUAAGGAAAAUCGCGUGAUUCUAUGGGUCCUUUUUGUAAGUAAACAUACUACUAAGUACUAACAGAUGACAAAUUUGUUUCAUAAAAAAUAAAAAAACAAAGGACAAAUUUCAUGAUCAGCCCCAUGUCCUUUUUUAACUAAGUAGUGCCGGCCACCAACGUCAGCUCCAUGUUCAUCGAAAAUUUUACAAAAUGGUUACUGUAACACUUUCAUUUGUAUUUGAUAAUUAUUGUCUAAUUAUAGACUAACUAGACUCAAAAGAUUUGUCUCGCAAAUUACAAACAAAUGCAAUUAGUUAUUUGUUAUCUAUAUUUAAUUAAUGCUUCAUGCAUGUGUCGCAAGAUUCGAUGUGACGGAAAAUAUUAAAAAAAUUUACAGUUUUUUUAGAACUAAACAGUAAAAGUCUUCUUUUCCAUUUUGCAUCCCGGAAGAGACAGAUGUUCUCUUUUAUUUUUAUUUUUAUUUUUAUUUUUUUUAGAAAAUAAGAGCAGACUACAUACUUCAAAAGGAGAAGACUACAUACUUCAAUAUUGUGUUGAGUUAAAUUCUCCAACCUUAAUUAAGUUUAUAGGAAAAUACACCAAUAUUUACAUGUAAACAAAUAGUUUCUUUAGAAAAUAAGAGCAGAUAAUAUUUAAAGGAAGAGAAAAUCUUUUUUUUUUUUAAAAAAAAAACAUAGAGGAAGAGAAACUUUUUGUUUUUUUUACAACUCUUCUACGAGAAGACUCCGUGUAUUCCAGCAAACAUGUGUUUUCUCAAGGACUUUUGUGUGAAAAUUGUGGUCCACUCGUAUUCCUGGACGCGAGCGAAACCGAACCGGAGACAGACACGACGAGCUGCCCGAUUCCUUCCCCACAUCCAUCGUCAAAAGGAGAAGAGAGAGAGAGAGAGAGGAGCAAACCCUAGCUCCAGCUUGCCUCCUACUCCGCCAUCAUCCAGAUCCGGCCGGUGCGUGCGAUGGCGCUGCGCGUUCUGGCCCGUAAGCUGAGGUUCCCUGCCACGUCCGUUCUCCAGCGGGCGUCGACCCCCGUGGUGUCGCCGCCGGCGAGCUCCCGACUUCUCACCUCCCACUCCUCUCAGGUGCGUGUUCUCCGUUUUCUGCUCUGGAUUAUAUUGAUCAGCGGAGCAAUCUUCUUCUGAGAUCAUGAGCGCGCGGUUAAUAUUGCGAGCUGGACUGGAUUCGCCUCCAGCUGCAGGACCGUACCUGAUGUUUGUCCCAGUAUGGCUUAGGAUUUCACUCGCAUGGUGCAAGGAUUUUUGUUUCCUCUAGUUGAUUGAAUUGAAUUCUAAAGCAGAUCACUGUAGCCCGCUAUUCUGAUCGAAUAAGUUUUUUCUUUUUUCAUCGAAGUGUGAGAGCUGAAUAAGCUAAGGAGGAAACGAUCGAUCAUGUAGAAAGGGAAAAAUUGGGAUUAGUCUCUUUAUGCAUUAAACUGUUGACAGAUGAAUCAGGUGUCACCUUGCUUUGUCGUCGAAAAUUUUAACCGGAACUUCUCAUGUCGGUUUGUGUAUGAGAGUAAUAUAAUAUGGAAGAUGAACUAUCUAUUCUCUUCUUCUAUCAUUUACCUGGUACUACAGAACUGUCAUGUUUUAGUAAAUCGUUUAGAAGUACGUGAUGUGUACAAUCUUGGUUAUUUUCAUCUUGACCCUUUUCUGUAAGUAAUCAAUAAGACUUUUAGGAAACAGUGUCUCUUGUGCCAUAUUUCUUACUCAACUUUUAAUCUAAAAGGACAUGUCUUUUUAGUUAGGAAUUAUUUGGCCAUACUUAGACUAAGCUGGAGUCCCUGCCUUAUGCAUUUGUAGUUCAGCUUCAGUAGCCAUUCUAUUUGUCUGUUUUCGAUCACCAUAUGCCAAAAUAGCUUAAGGGCAUAUAGAUAAAUGUGUUUUCUCAAACAUAAGCCAUAACCCUUCAAGCACCUUCUGGGCUGCUGCUGCCCACUGCUUGUUGCACACCUGUACCACCUCUCUUCUGAGCCUUUACCCCGAUUGUGUCCAUCGGAUGAUUGCUAUGUUGAAAUUACUCCAGAUUAAUAUAUUGACUGGGUUUCGAAUCUCUGCUAGCAAUAUGAAUCUAAGUAAAUGGGGACACAAGCUGAACUUGAUGUAUGUGACGUGGGCAUGAGUGAGAAGCUCACUGUAAGUUGGACCAAACUCUCAGUAUAUGUGUGUAUUGUCUACUGCUAAGCUUGGCCAAGUUGCUCUCCUACCAAAAGGCACACUACAUCUGCCUCCGGUCCAUCCAACAUCAGGAACUUAUUUGGUCCUUGUGGGACUGCUGUUUCUUUUCCAAAUAAUGCGCAUUAUGGCAGAAUUUUAUCUAUUAUAUGUAAGAGAGUAUGUAGGAGAUAUACAAGGCCCAACUUGGCAAAUUACAAAAUUCUGAAACAAUUGGGCAGUUCCUUCAAUGUAGAUAUUAGGAUGGGUGUGAGUAAAGCUAUGUGCUCCCUAAUCUAGAAUAUAUCAGCAACCUUUUUUUUUUGUUUGUUGCACCAUGUACUCAAGAUGACUUUGAACUGUUUGGUUCUGCACAUGGCUUUCCUAAACUGUUUGCCUAAUUCUCUAAUCUGCUAGUGGUGUCACCUAGUCUGUCAAAUUUGCAAUAGAGCGCCUGGUUGUCGUUUUUAAGGACUUACUUUUUAGUCUGUUCCCAGCUUUUCAUGACUUUCUAAAUUUAGUUUUCUGAGAUACCCAAGGUUUAUGCUACUUGGAUGCUAGCACUAAUCAACUUCUUUAUUUUUUUUUCUUGAAGCAAUUAUCAUGCAUGGUCGAUCACUCUUGCAGUCUACCUUGAACUGAGUUUCCAAUGUUAACAUGUGCCUCAGUUUGGUUUAAGUUUCCUUCUGAUCGUUUUAAAUAAUUGAAAAUUGCAGAGUGGAGGAGCCAAGAGAGCAGUGAAUGAGACCAGGAAUGCUCGACCAAGGUGGAGGAAUUACAAGAAACUGGAGAAGCGUUUUUUGUAAGUGAAACUUUAAAUUGCUCCCAUUUGAUUUCACCAAAUGGUAUGAUCCUAGUAUGUAACCUUUCCUGUGUUAUUUUUGUAUAAGGCGCGAUAUGGAGAAGGACAUGAAGAAUUUCAAGGAGCUUUCAUUAGCUAUGGACAACUUGCCAAGGAAUGUUGUACUCACUUCCUCUGUUGGUCUUGCGGUUUUGACAACCGGCUGGGCGUAUGCCAUUGGUGUUUUCGAUUGGAACAGAAUGGGGGACAGUGAACCUUCGGAUCAACAAGGUGUUGUGUAGACGCACCCCAUGAAUAAUCUAUGAGACUUUUAUAUUUAUGUAAGAGAAAUGAAAUGGUGCGGACAAGGAGAAGACUGUAUGCUUGUUAAGUAAGGCCUUGUUUAGAUCCAAAAUUUUUUCUGUUUUUGACACUAGCAAUUUCGUUUUUAUUUGACAAACCUUGUCCAAUCAUGGAGUAACUAGACUCAAAAAUUUAAUUGGAUGUUUGACUGUUUGGUUUGUGGAAUGAAGCUAUCUAUCACAAUUUCACUACUUAGUUUUUUUUGUUUGGUUUGUGGAAUAGAAUAAGGCCUUGUUCAGUUCACAAAAAGCAUGGUUUUUGGCUACUGUAGCACUUUCGUUUUUAUUUGACAAACAUUGUCUAAUCACGGAGCAAUUAGUUUUUAUUUUUAUCUAUAUUUAAUGCUCCAUGUAUGCGACCAAAGAUUCGAUGUGACGGAAAACCUUGAAAAUUUUUGUGAACUAAGCCCUUGUUUAGAUGCGAAAAGAUUUUGGAUUUCGCUACUGUAGCACUUCAGUUUGUUUGUGGCAAAUAUUGUCCAACUAUGGACUAAUUAGGAUCAAAAGAUUUGUCUCGCGAUUUACAGUUAAACUGUGCAAUUAGUUUUUAUUUUUGUCUAUAUUUAAUGCUUAAUGCAUAUGCCAAAAGAUUUGAUGUGAUGGGAAAUCUUGUGGUUUUCAGGUGAACUAAGGCCUUGUUUAGUUCGCAAAAAUUUUCAAGAUUCCCCGUCACAUCGAAUCUUUGGUCUCAUGCAUGGAGUAUUAAAUAUAGACAAAAAUAAAAACUAACUGCACAGUUUACCUGUAAUUUGUGAGAUGAAUCUUUUGAGCCUAGUUACUCCGUGAUUGGACAAUGGCCUUGUUUAGUUCGGAAAACUUUUUGGUUUUCGGAACUGUAGCACUUUCGUUUUUAUUUGAUGAACAUUGUCCAAUUACGAAGUAACUAGGCUUAAAAGAUUCAUUUCGCGAUUUACAGGUAAACUGUGCAACUAGUUUUUAUUUUCGUCUAUAUUUAGUGCUUCAUGCAUGUGUCACAAGAUUCGAUGUGACGAGGAAUCUUGAAAAAAUUUUAGAUUUUGGGGUGAACUAAACAAGGCCAAUGUUUGUCAAAUAAAAACGAAAUGCUACCGUAGCCAAAAACAAAAAUUUUUGCGAACUAAACAAGGCCUAAACAAGACCUAAGUUGAUCUGUCGCCACCUUGUUACUCCCAAGCUGAAAUGUGGUUAUUAUACUAAAUUUGAGCAAUUGAAUAAAUUUGAGCAAUUGACUCCUGAUGCAUCACUCGGUCACUCCAUCUAAAAUGGGUUGACGUCCGAAACCAAACACUCCAAAAGAGCAUCUCUAGUAGUUUCCACUAAAUUGUUUGGUAAAUAAAUGAGUUUUUCAACUAAAAAUAGGAGGAUUGUUGACUUUCUCCAACGUUUACAAUAUUUUGCUAAAAAAAAAAGACUUGGCCCACUCGACACUCAUGCUCACUGCUUCCUCCCAACUGCUUCCUCCCUAACUUCCAGAACUCACUGCUUCCUUCCCCACUUCCAGAACUUGAGUGACUCUAAAAUACUAUUCUUCACUUGGCCCCCAACACAAUCUAUCAUGGUAUUGGUAAUCACUUCAGUUAGCUCUUUAGCCAUCUUCUUAACCUUGUCCUCGUCCACAUCAUUAGCCAUGUUUUUGAGUUCUUCGGCUAACUUGAUAAACUUUUUCGACGCUACCUCCGCCACAUGUGGUGCUACCACCUCCAUAACUAGGUAGCAGCCUAAAAUUAUACCUACUAGGAGCCAACCGAAGAAGUAAAGUGGUAGCAGCCUGACUUGAUUCUUCAACUUCUCACUCUCGAGCUCCAUCUCACGCCUAUGAUUAACAUAAACAACAAUCAAACCAGAAUGUUUGAGUUAAAUAAGAUGCUUCAUUUCAUAUUAGACGUCUCAUACAUACUAAGUCAUAAUAAGCACAGCAAGAUUCUUAACAAAAGACACACCAAGAUUAUGCUAAAUAACAUGCAUACUAGGACAUUUAUUAGUUAAUUGGUUGAGCACCAUUAGUUUCAGUGGCACAUCACUUUACAAGGUCGCACAAGGUCUUAGGUAUGUUAACUGAGAUUUACUAGGGUCAUGAGCUAGCUUUAGUAUACGUACACAACAUCAAGCUAAAAGAAUCAACUUAGGCAAGCAAGAUUGUGGACUACAACACAACAAUUACUUGUUUUAACCAUAACUACAAGCAUCCAACAAACAUGGUCCUUAGCUUUUUGGAAAGCUUAUUAAGCUUUAUACAACUUUCUUACUAUUAUCACUCAGAGUUGAUUCAAUAACUAACAAGGUCAAACAUUACCAAGAAGCAUUUUUGUCUAGACUUAGACAAAAUCUGACAUUAAGCUUUAGAUAUUUGCAACUGGAGUUCUAGUUUACCAAAAGUUGUGUUCUUUAACAUUUUGGAAAGCUUUUUAGUUACUCAAACAACCACACGCAAGAAAAUCAUCACAUAGACAAACUAUCCAUUACUUAUUUUAUUAACAAGAGAGCAUAAAACAUAUGCCAUUCAAGAGCUCAACCAUUACUAGCAUAACUCAACAACAUUUCAUAAGAAUCAUCACAAGAAUUACAUACAUGUUCAUUUAUUAGCAAAACUUUCUUACGUUUUAUAGAUUAAAGAGAUAUUUAAUAAAGGGGCGGUAUGGCAAACAUUUAGUUUGGACCUGAGAUUUUUAUGGUUGGAAGAGGUUGUCAAAGCAUGACUACUGUAGAAACAUUACAUGCUCAGGUUUAAUAGAUUAAUUAUUUCAAUAAGAACAAGUUUUUAUUGCAAUAAAACAUGUGAGAGUAAGUUAAAUCUAAAGAUCCACAUUUUCUGUAUAUCCAUGCACUUAUAACUGAAUAAACAGUAAACGUAAUAGAGAUGACGUGCUGAUGAGUUUACCUGACCAAAAGACUGAACUUCACAUGGAGGUAGACACAGGUUUCAAUACGACGGACAUGGAACUGAAGCUUGGCCAAUUUUGCCAUGAUUUUGCUUUGAUUCUGCAGUCUUGGCUUCAAGGACUCGUCAUCACCGCCAGACUUCUGGCCACCAGAUUUCUCAUUGCCACCGGCUGUGGAAGAGUAGCCACGCCGACCGGUUAUACCCAACACGGUGGGGAUGGUGCAGAACCGAGAGCCGUUGGGCGCGGCACCAGCGACGGCGGCCGCCUCCUUGGCGCCGACCCGGGCGCGGUUCUCGGUCUUGGGGCCCUCAAGGCCGUUGGACCCAGCAGCAGGGAGGAGCAGCGCGACGAAGAGUCGUGGGUGCGUCGGCACUAGAAGCACGCGCGAGGCGGAGAGGAUUGCGGCGGCGGCGGCUGCUGCCAUAGGGCACUCAAGCGGCGGCCCCAGGAACGCAGCGCCGCGUGGUCCUAGCGCGGCGUCCUCGACACAGAGCAUCGCACCGCCGUAGUCGCCGUUCGUGCCGUAGGCAGAGUCGACCACCAGGAACGCGGAGUCACCUCCUCCCAUGGCGAAGGCAAAUCCACUGCCUUGGGCACCGGUGGUGAUGGGGACGGCGAGGGCCAGGCACGAACGAUUGGGCGCGGCGCCGCCAGCGACGGUGUCCGCCUCCCUGGCGCGGACCCAGACGUGAUCGUCGGACCCGGAAGGGAGGGAGAUAGGGCGCUCGAGCGGCGGCGCCAAGAACGCAGCGCCGCAUGGCCCUAGUGCGGCGUCCUCGACGCACAACAUCGCCCCGCAGUAGUGGGCAGAGUCGACGCCGACGACCACCAGGUGCGUGUAGUCACCUCCUCCCUCGGCAGCACCGCCGGGCUCCUGAGCGUCGCGAUGGCCCACGGAGAAGGGAAAUCCACCGCCUUUGGCUCCGGUGGUGGUGAUGAGGAUAGCGAGGGCGAGCCGCGAACGGUUGGGCGCGACGCUGCCAGCGACGGUGUCCGCCUCCCCGGCGCGGACCCGGGCGUGGUCGUCGGACCCGUCAGGGAGGAGCGGGGCGAAGACGAACCUUUGGAGCACAGGCGCCAGCAAGCGCGGGGCUCCGGGGAGGAUGGCGGCGGCGAUAGGACGCUCGAGCGGCGGCGCCAAGAAGGUAGCGGCACGCGGCGAGAGGGUGGCUGCGCGGCGAGACUGCUUGCCGGCGGCGCGAGACAGUAGCUGAAGCGGGGUGGGGGUUCGCGACGAGCCAGUGGGGUUUUGGGGGGUUAUGGAGGAGGCGGCGGCGGUGGUAGGGCGCUGGAGCGGCGGCGCCAAGAAGGUAGCGGCCGUGCGGCGGGACUGCUUGCCGGCGGCGCGAGCCAGGAGCUGGAGCACUCCGGCCAUGUCUCCGGGUGGGGUUUGCGGCGAGGCAGUGGGGUUUUGGGGGGAGGGGUAAACGAAGGCGGCGGGAGGGGGAUCAGAGCAGGCAGGGUUUUCCUCCGUCCCUCACCGUUGCCAAUGACAAUGGGUUUCGAGAGGCCGAGAGGGGAGUGGGUGGUUAAAGCAAAACUGGCUGAGGCGAAGGGAAGCGGGGACGUACGGCAGUGCAUGUGGCGACAAUGGAGGACGAAGCCCUGCUGCUGCUGCUGCGCUGCGACUGCGAGUGCUUUUCUGUUUCGCUCUUGCUCAGGCUCGUCGGCAGUCGCCUCUGUCUGGCCUUCCUCUCCAUGAGUUUUGAGUGCGUAGCAUCGUGGUGCGUUAUUCCGCCGGCCGUCGGUACACCACCAGGUAACUACGUGCAGCACGGACCGCCGGAGACCGGCCGGCAGGCCGGGCGUAGAGGUAGUAGAGCUCUAUCGCCUCGUCUCGUCGAAUGUGAGGAGAUCAGAAUGCGUCGCACGCCAAACCCCACGCGGCCGUCAGGCGUCAGUGACCGGUCACACUGACCUACUGCGCGCGCUGCCAAUGGGCGCCACACUGGCCUUGUAUUCCAUCUCAAAACCUAAAAUUUUUUAAGAUUUCUUUUCAUAUCGAAUCUUUAAACGCAUGCAUAGAGUAUUAAAUAUAGACAAAAAUAAAAUCUAAUUGUACAGUUUGGUCGGAAUUUAUGAGACGAAUCUUUUGAGCCUAGUUAUUCUAUGGUUGGACAAUAAUUACCACAAACAAACAAAAGUGUUACAGUGUCGCGAAAUUUUCCCUUCAGAAACUAAACGCGGCCUAGUUGGAUGUGCCACUCGAUGUGACGAAUAAUCUUAGGUCUGGUUUACUUCAACCAAAAAACCAAAAAAAAUUAAAAUUUUGAAUCUUGUGGCAAAUACAUAAAACAUUAAAUAUAGAUGAAAACAAAAACUAAUCAUACAAUUUACCUGUAAAUCGUGAGAUGAAUAUUUUAAGUCUAAUUAGUUUAUAAUUAGAUAAUAAUUAUUAAAUAAAAACAAAAAAGUUAUAGUAUGUAAAACUAUUUUUUUUGGAAUUAAACAAGACAUUAAUCCCUUGGGAAGAAAGGGCCGGAACGAAAGGCUGCUUGUAGCCGAUCGUAGUCCUUUAGACAGAGGGUGUGUGUGGGUGGCCGGGGGGGGGGGGGGGGGAGCACGCUACUAUCUACAAGUUCAAACACAUGUGUGUCACCAAACUAUACUGUUGAUUGAUGCAUUUCUUUUAUAUAAGAAGAAACUAAUUAAGUCAAGUUAAAAGUUAAACAACUAUUUACUUAGGUAGGACAACUAAAAUGAACUACACGUACUCCCAUGUGAUAAAUAAAAAAAAUAAUUGGCAUGUUUAACUUUAUUACAGAGUAUUCGUUAUUUUAUGCGCUAGAUUCUUAAGAUGCAUCAAGUGAGAUUUUGUAACAAGUAUAUCUGAAUACAACACAUAAAUAUAUACAUUUCAAUUCUAAUAUUCGAUCAAAGUUUUCAUCAUAAAUUAAUUAAUGUUUUCCUUAGCGGAGGAGUGCUUAUGUAUGGGUGUGCGUCAUACGGUGUCAUCUACUACAUGCGCGCGGUGAAAUACUAUACGGCUAGCAGACGGAAGGCCCUGUUUAGAUUGUAGAUAAAAAUUUUUUAGGUGUCACAUCAGAUGUGUCGGAAGGAUGUCGGGAGGAAUUUUUAGAAACUAAUAAAAAAACAAAUUACAUAGCUCGUCAGGAAACUGCAAGACAAUUCUAUUAAGCAUAAUUAAUCUGGCAUUAGCACAUGUGGGUUACUGUAGCACUUAAGGCUAAUCAUGGAGUAACUAGGUUUAAAAGAUUCAUCUUGCGAUUUUUAACUAAACUGUGUAAUUAGUUUAUUCUUUUAUUUACAUUUAAUGUUCCAUAUGCAUGUGUCCAAAGAUUCGAUGGGAUGGAUAAAAAAAUUUUGGGUGAGGAACUAAAGAGGGCCUAGUACACGCUUGGAGCCUUUGGUGCCAUAGCCCAAAGUAAUACCAGCUGUCUCCACUCUUUAGUAGCAGUAGCAGCGGGUGUUUGGCUGGGGUUGUUAAAGUUUAACACAUACUGUAACAUUUUCAUUUUAUUUGUCAAUUAGUAUCAAUCAUAGUCUAAUUAGACUCAAAAGAUUUGGUUCGUAAAUUACUUUUUAGUUUUUUAAAUAGUCUAUAUUUAAUACUCUAUACAUGUGCCUAAACAUUCGAUUUGACGGGAGUUAAAGUUUAAUAACUGGACCAAACAGGGUACUUGGUCUGUAAAUAACUGUCUUUUACGCUUUACAAGAAAUAAUUUUAAUUACAUAGAUAUUAAUAAUAUUAAUAUUUAUGAUACAUAAUUAGUAUCAUUAGAAAGAUAUUUGAAUCUAGUUUUUUUAAUAAUUUUAUAAAAAUAUAAAUGUUGUACGUAUUUCCUAUAAAUUAAAUUAAACUUAUGGCAUAUACAUCAGCGAUGACAAUUAGAUUGGGACGCAGGAGUAAGGCCUUGUUCAGUUCCCAAAAUUUUUUGAUUCGGGAUACUGUAGAACUUUCAUUUUCAUUUGACAAUUAUUGUCUAAUAAUGGACUAACUAGACUUAAAAGAUUCAUCUCGCGAUUUACAGGUAAACUGUGUAAUUUGUUUUUUGUUUUCGUCUAUAUUUAAUGCUUCAUGUAUCUGACGAAGAAUCUUAAAAAAAAAAAUUCGUUUUUGAAGUGAAAGAACUUGGGCCUAAAGUAAUACUCCUCUACAAGUACAAGUACAAGUACAAGUACAAGGGCACAGUAAAAAACCCGGAAACUCUCAAGCAGAGGCUGUGUAAAAACCAGCAAUGGCUGCCUCCUACUCCUGCUACGGUACCAGUACACCGAGGCCUUGGUUAGUUCAAAUUUUUUUAUAAAAUGUACACUGUUGUAUUUUUGUUUGUAUUUGAUAAAUAUUGUCCAAUUAUAGAUUAAUUAGUCUCAAAAGAUUCGUUUCAUAAAUUACAAAUAAACUGUAUAAUUAGUUAUUUCUUUUAUUUAUAUUUAAUGUUUUAUAUAUGUGGUGUAAAAUUCGAUGUAACAAAUAAUAUGAAAAAAUUUGCAAACUUUUUUAAAACUAAACAAGACGCUACACCUAGCACCUGCAACUCCUAUUGGAACGGUCAAAAGCCAGAGAUAACGCACGAUCACAUCACGCAAUUGGCCCGCCUCGCCUCGGUUCUCUGAUAGGCAGCUUUUGAACGGUGAAGAUAGUACAUGCCCAGAUGUACAUACCACCAGACAUUUUCGCACUGCCGGGUGCCUGCCUGAAUUCCUUUCUGUCUGUACUGCUCCGCCCGGUGCCUUCUAUCAGCUCCCUCCACCGCACCAUCCAUGCUCUCCUCUCCUCUAGUACCGUAGGCUGUUGGCUACCCUUGUUUAGUUUGUAAAAAAAAUUAAGAUUUUCCGUCGCAUCGAAUCUUUCGACAUAUACAUUGAAUAUUAAAUAUAUAAAAAAAUAAAAAUUAAUUACACAGUUUAUCUAUAAUUUACGAGACGAAUCUUUUAAGUCUAGUUAGUUUAUAGUUAGACAAUAAUUAACUAAUACAAACGAAAAUGCUACGGUUUCUAAAAUCCAAAAAUUUUACCAUGUGAACAAGACCUAAAACCAAGGCUGUUGGCUCUUGUUCUGCCGCCUGUUAGCCUCUCGCCUCUCCACACACGACUCAACCUGCUUUCACCGGCUAUACAUUUUUUUUUUGGAAAAAAAGGGAAUUCUGCCAAUGCAUAAAAAGACUCUUUUUAUGUAGUGUGUACAUAAACAAAAAUUACUCCAUCUGUUUUUGCAUGAAUCAGGCCCCGUUUAGUUCUAAAAAAUUUAUAAAAUUUUCUAAAAUUCUUCAUCACACCUAAUCUUUGGACGCAUGCAUUGAGCAUUAAAUAAAAAUAAAAAAUAAAUAAUUGCAUAGUUUUGCGAAACGAAUCUUUUGAGCCUAAUUAGUCCAUGAUUGGACCAUAAUUAUCAAAUACAAACGAAAAUACUACAGUAACCAAACCCAAUUUUUUUCACCAACUAAACAAGGCAUCAAUUCCUAGAAUUCAUGUCAGUCAGACCUUUUUAAGUUUGACUAACUUUAUAAAAAAGAGGAAUGAUACCUAUGACAUAAAAUGAACAUCUUAUGAAAAUAUAUUGUAUGAUAAAUCUUAUUAUACUAAUAUGAUACUAUAAAUUCUAUUUUUUUAAAAAAAUGGUCAAAUUUUAAAAAUUUAACUUAAGAUAACUUUGGAAAUCUAUUUAUUUAGGGACUGAGGGAGUAUAUCAUCAAUAGACUAAUAUUCCAUGUAUCCUUUAAUACAAACUAAUGUUGAAUUUAUUAAAGUAAUUGAGGAUAAAGAUGUAUUGUGAGUAACAUUUGAUAGUCAAAGUACGUUUCUAAAGACUUUUUUCUUCACAAAUCCUAUAUGCAUUAGACAAAUAAACGAAGGGAGUAUUAUUACUAACGGAGAUGAUGUAGGGCCGCAACCCUAUUCUGUUGUACUACUUUAGUCGUACUUUUCAUUGAAUAAACAAUAUUUUUUAUCACAAUAUUUCAACAUAAGCCAAAUUUUAGCAAAACUACUCGGACCAAGUGAUUAUACACAUCCGUUUGCGCUGCCAGUAGAAUAUUUGCCCACUUCAAAUUAUGGCACUCGUUUGAUUAUAUUAAUGCACAACAGUGAGGUUGUAUAAUAUGAAUCUUACUUUUAUUACCAAUUCUUAUGAAAAAAAUUACAAUUGAUGAUUUUGGCAGACACUCCACUUGACCACCUAUGCACUACGCAAGUGGGCCCAAACCCUUUGGAAAUACUCUUAGUUGAUUAUAGAGGAGGUAGACACAAGAUGAUUUUGGCAGACACGCCACUUGACCACCUAUAUGCACUACGCAAGUGGGCUCAAACCCUUUGGAAAUACUCCUAGUUGAUUAUAGAGGAGGUAGACACAAGAAACGAUCGACCACUGGAAAUUGUGUUUUUAGAUGGGGUUCCUUGUGCGAGUCGACAAAAACCAUUCAAACUUUUUUACAAUUUUUAAUCUUCUCAAUGAAGUCGUGUUCAGAAUGAAAAUUUAUGGAGGGUAAUAUCGUCUCCAUGCAUCUAUAGUAAAAUUUAUGUAUUGUUUGCAAACUUUUUGGCAUACACGUUUGAAAAAUUUAUGGAGGGUAAUAUCAUCAUUGUGACAUCUUUUCCUUAUACUUCACACGUGUACGACAUUCCGAAUACUUAUACAAAAAUAAUUGUGAGAAUUACAGUUGUAGAAGGGGAUACACAUGAUAUAUGCCCCAUAAAAUCUCAUUGGAACACAAUUUAAUUAAAUGGACUAAAAAUACAAUUGGAGGUGCUUUUAGCCUUUUUCUUAUCAACAUUAAGAGGUGGUUCACAAAAAGGAAUUGUAUAUGAAGAUAACCAUUUUUUACGAGGGGGUAUCUUAAUUAUGUAAACUGCGUCUCGAAAUCACUUCCUGCAGCAAAGGUUCAAGAAAGGCUAUUAGCAAAAACUAUGUGGUGGUAUGGUAUCUGUUUAGAAAGGUUCUUAAGGAAAAUCGCGUGAUUCUAUGGGUCCUUUUUGUAAGUAAACAUACUACUAAGUACUAACAGAUGACAAAUUUGUUUCAUAAAAAAUAAAAAAACAAAGGACAAAUUUCAUGAUCAGCCCCAUGUCCUUUUUUAACUAAGUAGUGCCGGCCACCAACGUCAGCUCCAUGUUCAUCGAAAAUUUUACAAAAUGGUUACUGUAACACUUUCAUUUGUAUUUGAUAAUUAUUGUCUAAUUAUAGACUAACUAGACUCAAAAGAUUUGUCUCGCAAAUUACAAACAAAUGCAAUUAGUUAUUUGUUAUCUAUAUUUAAUUAAUGCUUCAUGCAUGUGUCGCAAGAUUCGAUGUGACGGAAAAUAUUAAAAAAAUUUACAGUUUUUUUAGAACUAAACAGUAAAAGUCUUCUUUUCCAUUUUGCAUCCCGGAAGAGACAGAUGUUCUCUUUUAUUUUUAUUUUUAUUUUUAUUUUUUUUAGAAAAUAAGAGCAGACUACAUACUUCAAAAGGAGAAGACUACAUACUUCAAUAUUGUGUUGAGUUAAAUUCUCCAACCUUAAUUAAGUUUAUAGGAAAAUACACCAAUAUUUACAUGUAAACAAAUAGUUUCUUUAGAAAAUAAGAGCAGAUAAUAUUUAAAGGAAGAGAAAAUCUUUUUUUUUUUUUAAAAAAAAACAUAGAGGAAGAGAAACUUUUUGUUUUUUUUACAACUCUUCUACGAGAAGACUCCGUGUAUUCCAGCAAACAUGUGUUUUCUCAAGGACUUUUGUGUGAAAAUUGUGGUCCACUCGUAUUCCUGGACGCGAGCGAAACCGAACCGGAGACAGACACGACGAGCUGCCCGAUUCCUUCCCCACAUCCAUCGUCAAAAGGAGAAGAGAGAGAGAGAGAGGAGCAAACCCUAGCUCCAGCUUGCCUCCUACUCCGCCAUCAUCCAGAUCCGGCCGGUGCGUGCGAUGGCGCUGCGCGUUCUGGCCCGUAAGCUGAGGUUCCCUGCCACGUCCGUUCUCCAGCGGGCGUCGACCCCCGUGGUGUCGCCGCCGGCGAGCUCCCGACUUCUCACCUCCCACUCCUCUCAGGUGCGUGUUCUCCGUUUUCUGCUCUGGAUUAUAUUGAUCAGCGGAGCAAUCUUCUUCUGAGAUCAUGAGCGCGCGGUUAAUAUUGCGAGCUGGACUGGAUUCGCCUCCAGCUGCAGGACCGUACCUGAUGUUUGUCCCAGUAUGGCUUAGGAUUUCACUCGCAUGGUGCAAGGAUUUUUGUUUCCUCUAGUUGAUUGAAUUGAAUUCUAAAGCAGAUCACUGUAGCCCGCUAUUCUGAUCGAAUAAGUUUUUUCUUUUUUCAUCGAAGUGUGAGAGCUGAAUAAGCUAAGGAGGAAACGAUCGAUCAUGUAGAAAGGGAAAAAUUGGGAUUAGUCUCUUUAUGCAUUAAACUGUUGACAGAUGAAUCAGGUGUCACCUUGCUUUGUCGUCGAAAAUUUUAACCGGAACUUCUCAUGUCGGUUUGUGUAUGAGAGUAAUAUAAUAUGGAAGAUGAACUAUCUAUUCUCUUCUUCUAUCAUUUACCUGGUACUACAGAACUGUCAUGUUUUAGUAAAUCGUUUAGAAGUACGUGAUGUGUACAAUCUUGGUUAUUUUCAUCUUGACCCUUUUCUGUAAGUAAUCAAUAAGACUUUUAGGAAACAGUGUCUCUUGUGCCAUAUUUCUUACUCAACUUUUAAUCUAAAAGGACAUGUCUUUUUAGUUAGGAAUUAUUUGGCCAUACUUAGACUAAGCUGGAGUCCCUGCCUUAUGCAUUUGUAGUUCAGCUUCAGUAGCCAUUCUAUUUGUCUGUUUUCGAUCACCAUAUGCCAAAAUAGCUUAAGGGCAUAUAGAUAAAUGUGUUUUCUCAAACAUAAGCCAUAACCCUUCAAGCACCUUCUGGGCUGCUGCUGCCCACUGCUUGUUGCACACCUGUACCACCUCUCUUCUGAGCCUUUACCCCGAUUGUGUCCAUCGGAUGAUUGCUAUGUUGAAAUUACUCCAGAUUAAUAUAUUGACUGGGUUUCGAAUCUCUGCUAGCAAUAUGAAUCUAAGUAAAUGGGGACACAAGCUGAACUUGAUGUAUGUGACGUGGGCAUGAGUGAGAAGCUCACUGUAAGUUGGACCAAACUCUCAGUAUAUGUGUGUAUUGUCUACUGCUAAGCUUGGCCAAGUUGCUCUCCUACCAAAAGGCACACUACAUCUGCCUCCGGUCCAUCCAACAUCAGGAACUUAUUUGGUCCUUGUGGGACUGCUGUUUCUUUUCCAAAUAAUGCGCAUUAUGGCAGAAUUUUAUCUAUUAUAUGUAAGAGAGUAUGUAGGAGAUAUACAAGGCCCAACUUGGCAAAUUACAAAAUUCUGAAACAAUUGGGCAGUUCCUUCAAUGUAGAUAUUAGGAUGGGUGUGAGUAAAGCUAUGUGCUCCCUAAUCUAGAAUAUAUCAGCAACCUUUUUUUUUUGUUUGUUGCACCAUGUACUCAAGAUGACUUUGAACUGUUUGGUUCUGCACAUGGCUUUCCUAAACUGUUUGCCUAAUUCUCUAAUCUGCUAGUGGUGUCACCUAGUCUGUCAAAUUUGCAAUAGAGCGCCUGGUUGUCGUUUUUAAGGACUUACUUUUUAGUCUGUUCCCAGCUUUUCAUGACUUUCUAAAUUUAGUUUUCUGAGAUACCCAAGGUUUAUGCUACUUGGAUGCUAGCACUAAUCAACUUCUUUAUUUUUUUUUUUUCUUGAAGCAAUUAUCAUGCAUGGUCGAUCACUCUUGCAGUCUACCUUGAACUGAGUUUCCAAUGUUAACAUGUGCCUCAGUUUGGUUUAAGUUUCCUUCUGAUCGUUUUAAAUAAUUGAAAAUUGCAGAGUGGAGGAGCCAAGAGAGCAGUGAAUGAGACCAGGAAUGCUCGACCAAGGUGGAGGAAUUACAAAAAACUGGAGAAGCGUUUUUUGUAAGUGAAACUUUAAAUUGCUUCCAUUUGAUUUCACCAAAUGGUAUGAUCCUAGUAUGUAACCUUUCCUGUGUUAUGUUUGUAUAAGGCGCGAUAUGGAGAAGGACAUGAAGAAUUUCAAGGAGCUUUCAUUAGCUAUGGACAACUUGCCAAGGAAUGUUGUACUCACUUCCUCUGUUGGUCUUGCGGUUUUGACAACCGGCUGGGCGUAUGCCAUUGGUGUUUUCGAUUGGAACAGAAUGGGGGACAAUGAACCUUCGGCUUAACAAGGUGUUGCGUAGAUGCACCUCAUGAAUAAUCUAUGAGACUUUUAUGUUUAUGUAAGAGGAAUGGAAUGGUGCGGACAAGGAGAAGACUGUAUGCUUGUUAAGUAAUUUAUUAGUUGGAUGUUUGACUGUUUGGUUUGUGGUAUGAAGCGAUCCAUCACAAUCUCACUACUUAGUUUUUUUGUGUUUGGUUUGUGGAAUAGAAUAAGUUGAUCUGUUGCCACCUUGUUACUCCCAAGCUGAAAUGUGGUUAUUCUACUAAAUUUUAGCAAUUGACUCCUGAUGCAUCACUCCAUCUAAAACGGGUUGACGUCCGAAACCAAACACUCCAAAAGAGCAUCUCUAAUAGUUUCCACUAAAUCAUUUGGUAAAUCAAUGAGUUUUUCAACUAAAAAUAGGAGAAUUGUUUCUCGAUUGAACCUCAUCUCAUUUGUCGUAAAUCGAUCUGAUUCUUAGAUAUGCUGCUGCCGUGGCACAUUGGGUCACACCUCAAAAAAUAACGUUAAAAAAAAUCAUUGGCACAAUAUAGUAAAUAAAAUUUGAAGCUAUUGCAUUUCAUCUUAAAAAAAAGAACUGAACAUGCUAGCGUCUAGUGAGAGACACAUGGAACUUGAAAAGGCUAGGCCCAGGAAGGUAGACAAGGAGGCUACUCAACUCUUACACUAGCAUCUGCAACAAGCCAUAGCUGUUAGUGCUCGACAUGCUCCCUAGCAACUCAAUUCUGUGAAGUCCCUCCUGAGGAGGUUACUUCAGGCCUUGUUUAGUUUUUAAAAAUUUUCAAGAUUUCUCGUCACAUCGAAUCUUGUGACACAUGCAUGGUGCAUUAAAUAUACAUGAAAACAAAAAGUAAUUGCACAGUUCAUCUGUAAAUCACGAGACGAAUCUUUAAGCCCAGUUACUCCAUAAAUAGACAAUGUUUGUCAAAUAAAAACGAAAGUGCUACAGUGUCGAAAUCUAAAAAUUUUGCGAAAACUGAACAAGGCCUCAGCCAAGCUUCACUCCAUCAACUGCAAUGAGGAGGGUCUUUGGUCUUUUGCUCAGUGCCAUUCUCCUUUUUUUUUGUUCUUUUGUUUGGCUGUCAUCUCGAAACAUUGUGGAUUUUUAUUUUGGUAAACUAGUUAUAGCGGAAGUUAUGCUUCCGCUCUUCUUUCAGUUCAACAUUUGGUUAUAACUUAUAUGUGGAUCAUAAUCGUUUCUGGAAUAUUUUGUGUCAGAAUGUUUGUGGUCUCAAUGACCAUGACAAGUGGAAUCUUAUACGCAACAAAAUAGAAGAAAGCUCUUGUUCCUUGUUCAGGAAACAAAAAAGGAACACUUCGACACCACGUUCCUACGUAAUUUUGAACCGAGACACUUUAUUCUUUUGAUUUUUGCCCUUCAAAGGGAGCAUCAGGAGGCAUCCUCGUAGCUUGGAAUUCAAAUGUUUUUUCUGCAGUCUCGAUUGAAAAAUAGGACUUCGCUCUUAAAAUGAUCGUUACUUCAAUUCAUAACCAAGCUUCCUGGACCCUAAUCACUGUUUAUGGUCUGACAAGAGACCCAACACAUACUAACUCUUUUCUUGGUUGUAUAGUCUAGAGAUAGACUCAGAGGACCACUUCUUGAUUUUGGGCGAUUUCAAUUUCUAUAGAACAGCGUCAAACAGAAAUUGUCCUAAUCAGUUGGGUCUCAUUGAGUUGCCUCUUAAAGAGAGAGAACGUGAGUUGGCCCUUAAAAAGUUUCGUACCCAAAACAUCACUUCUAAAGUUAAUGGACCUAAGUGACACAUAUAUGGUGUAUUUAGUUCUUUUCAAAAUUUUGGCAAAGUUUCACUAGCAUAGUGGCAACUGAGGUCUAUAAGAUAUAAGAUACAUACAAAUUGCAAUAGGAAAUAGGGAUGAAGAACUUGCAACUAAUUAAGGUGGCAUGGGUAAUGAUCUAUCUUUCUGCCCUUUUUAGAAAAAAAAUAUAUCAACCUAGACAAUGAGAAUUCCUGUGUCAGACAUAGGGUGCUGAUUGGGUGCCUCCUCGCAUAUACGCUAUUAACAAUUGGGGAUUUACCCUAAAAUGAGAAACACCUAUUAAUUCAGAAAAUUGCUUGUGUCCUCAUACUUGUGUAUCAAAUACUCCGGAAAUGUCCACUGCUUGUUUCUGUAGCUAUCUUGAUUCUGAAAAAAACAAAACUAACCAUCACAGUCUCACAAUGGACGUGUUCCUAUCUAUCCAUUAUGAGAAUGCAAUGGAAAAUGUGAAAAAAUUAAGCCUUUUUUAUCUUCUUAUAUGAAGAACUUCUUUUUAAUCCUGAAGCACAGUUGAACAAUGGCUAGGUCCCUUGCCACCUCUGCCUUCUUCAUUGGCCCAGGGGCUUCAGUGGCAGCAUCUGCCAAAACCUCAUAGCAGUUGUUGGUGAGAAAUUCCUAUUUAUCCCCUAAUAACUUCCUUAUCUUCAAAUGUUAUUCAAACUACUUUUAGUCUGUUGGAUAUUACAGAACAAAUACCUUAAUUGGGCUGCACAUUCUCUUUUGUAGGUGCAGAAUUUUGGGAUCUCAAAUGAAGAAACUUGGCCAGCAGGCUUAUUCUUUACUUUGGUAAUAUUUAUGGCUAUUACAACAAUUAAUUUGGUAUUCCCAAUUUGAUCGCUUUUCUAAACAUAUUUGAUUUGCCGAUAAGUGGCAUCUUACGCUCUAUAGCAUCCACCGAAAAAAAUCCUCCUUUUUCUACUUUCCACGAUCAGUCCCACCCAGGUCAGGGCCUGUUUGGAUUGGAGUUUUUCCAUAGGAAUUUUAAAGGAAUCAGAAUCUUUCAUUUUGCUUACGUCACCCUCUGUUUGAAAUGGAGGAAUCAGUCAUCCCUUUUCUCUGGAAAGGCUUCCUUUCCUAUGCAAAGUAGAGGAAAUAAAACAUCCACCUCGAUCUGUUGAAAAAUUUCCUGCGCGUGAAGGAUGGAUUGACGACCAUGCUAAUAGCAAUUGAGCCUCAUUAGUACCUCGUUUGCUUGCAUCUCCUUCCACAAUCGUUUCCUAGAGAUUCCUAUGUUUUUCCAAUCCUCUGUUUUGUCCCUUCAUUCAAUACCUGUGUUUUCUAAUUCCUACGUUUUUUUCCGUUCCUACGUUUUAUAUUCCUCUGUUCCAAACAGGCCCUGAAGUACAAUUCAAAACAAUUUUGAAUCCACCCCACCUGCUGCCACGAUCGCCGCGUCCCUUCCUCUAGGAGUGCAUCAGCGAUCUACGCCACGAUCUACGACUGCAGCACCGGGCGACGUGACGAGUGCAGAGAUCGAAUCCUAGCCCACCCCAAUGCCGAGGAGGCACAGCGUGAUCAUCGGCAUAGGCGGCACGACGAAAGAGUUCCGGUGUUCUUGGCAGGCAGAGGCAGAUCGACGUCAUGGUUGUCCUCGUGCCGGCUAGAUCAGGGCAUUGGGCCUAUCGGAUUGACGUCGUAGCCUCCCCUCGACGCGCUGCUGCAGCGACCAAGGCGACAUUCGCCCUUGGCUCCGGCAAGCCGUCAGCUCGGCUUCGGCCGUGGCCACCACGACGACUCGGGGCUUCUAGGUGUUUCACAUCAACGGCACCGAUCGGGCUUCGAAGGACGACGGCUCUGGCUCCAUCGCGUUGUACCAACACCUGUAGAACACGUCAUCGAUAGGGCAUGACGGUGUGGAUAGGGCACGCCAGUCCAUCGCGCUCCAUCGUGCAGAACACCUAGAGCUCAUGUUAAUGCUAAUGCUCACCGCUAUUCUCCCUAUACAUCUCUAUGGCUCUCUAUAUAGCUCACUGUUGUUCUCCCUAUACAUCUCUAUGAACUCAGAAGAGAUCGAAAAGCUUAGAAUACAGAAUAGAGCAAUAUUUAAAAGAUGUUUUUUCAGAACAACGACCCUGAAGAUAUCUAAUAUUUGGUUAAGUCGUUAGGGAGGAUGUAAAUAUGUCUGGAGAUAUAAAAAUAGUGUAAACGACAAACUCUGCAGAAAUAAAUUAGUUCUUUUAAAAGCAUUUUCUAAAAAAAAACCUGUAGCGUUAGCACGGGUAUUAUACUAGUGAGAAGUAGUACAUAUCUAGUUGCUGUGAUUAGGCCAGUCUCAAUGCAUGUUUCAUGAGAGUAUCAUGCACAUUAAAUAGGGUGCCACAUAAGCAAAAUUGUUGACUUGGGCAGAGUUAUUAAAUGAAGGAGUUUCAUAAGAUGAGAGCGGAGUUUCAUCCCCAUAAAACUCAUGUGGCUCGGUUACCUAGUUUAUAGUCUUGGUAACUGUGCGAUAAAACUAUACGUCGAGACUGACCUUAUGAAAAAAACACGAAAGACGUAUGUUGACUUUUUGAUACUUAUAUGCAAUAAUUAGCUCGCUAAUUUUCAAUGUGUAUGCAUGAGAAGGUCACAGGCAAAACAAACGUGGUCACAUCCUACCAGAUCGUAGUGCAUUAAUCACGAUAUCAUCGGCGUUAGUGUUUACUAAGGCUUGAGGCACCAAACGUGAUGGCGGGGCUGGUCAAUGCCGGGGCGUCUUAGCGUUCGGUCGUCCGGACGGAAACCACCGUCCGGCACCUUUCCCACGCUAACUUCCCGCCUCCUCAUUCCAGCACAUCAUAUUCAGCUGACUUCACAUCGUGCGCCAAGAUUUUUUGCGAGCAGAGUCUGCCCGCCGUUUGCCCGUUUCCUCAACUUCAGGUCGUACUAGUGCAUGCAAGUAUAUGAUAAAAAAUAUGACAAUGUUAUGGUUUACUAUGAAUUUAAAAAAUCUAUAGUUUACAAAAUAAACAUCCAAAUUAAAUUUUGAUUGCGCCAUUGUGUUUCUUAUAAUAAUUUUUUUAAAACAAAAUCCCACAUAAAUAUAUUUGGAUAAAAUUUUAUUAAAUAACAUUUAUCUUAUAAAGAUAGAAUAUUUUUCUUUCAUUGAGUAGGGACAAUGUUCUAGAUUCAUGGAAUAAUGUUCCGCCUUCAUAAGAAAAAUAUGCUUAGUUUAGAACAACAAUAUGGUAAUUUUAGAUUCAUGAAAUUGAUAUUAUAAUAUACAUAAAAUAAAUAGUUACAUAAUAUAAAUAAGAAUAAUAAAAUCUAGAGCAAAGAAUAAGAAAAAAAAUAGAAACACCUAAUAGAGAGAAUUUAAAAGAACAUCACAUAGUCUGCCUGCACAUGCAUAAAGCACACAGUUUGACAUGCAGCACGUGCAAAAAUUCUUGGCACGUGCUGUGUGCUACGAAUUUUUACAUACAGCACGUGCCAGGAAUUUUUGCGAGCAGAGUCUGCCUGCUGUUUCCUCAGCUUCAGGUCGUACUAGUGCAUGCAGGUUUGAUAAAAUAAUACGAUAAUAUUAUGGUUUGCUACGAAUUUAAAAAAAAUCUAUAGUUUACAAAAUAAAUAUCCAAAUUAAAUUUUGAUUGCACCAUUGUAUUUUUUAUAAUAAAUUCUUCAAAACAAGAUCCGACAUAAAUAUAUUUAGAUAAAAUUUUAUUAAAGAACAUUUAUCUUAUAAAGAUAGAACAUUUUUCUUUCAUUGAGUAGAGACAAUGUUCUAGAUUCAGAGAAAAAUGUUCCGCCUUCAUAAGAAAAAUGUGCUCAGUUUGGAACAACAAUAUUGUAAUUUUAGAUUCAUUAACUUAAAUAAGAAUAGAAAAAAUGGAACUAAAAAGAAAGAAAAAAAUGAAAUAAGAAUGAAAACAUAGAAAACUCAAAGAAAAAGAAAAAGUAGAAUAAACAGAGGCAAGAAAAAACAAUAAAAAAUCAAAAGAAAAAGAAAAAGAAAAAAUAAAUAGGAAAAUAAAAAGAAAAAGAAAAGGAAAUAUAAUAAAAACAAAAACAUAGAAAAAAAAAUAAAAAAUAAAUAGAAUCAAGGAAAAAACAAAUACGGAAAGAAUGAAAAGAAAAAAGGAGCAUUAGAGCAUCUCCAAGAGCCUUUCUAAAUCUCACUCUCUAAAUCAUUAUUUGGAGAGUCAUUUGUAUAAAAAUCGCUUUCUAUAAUUUUUUUUAUUUUCCAACAAUUUUGCUAAAUCUCAUGCACACUCUAGAGGGUCAUUCUCGUCUUCUAUAUUUGGCUAGCGAAAAACCCGGAAUAGACAAUGGAUAUAUUUGGAUGACCAUUUAGAGAAGCCGUUGGAGGGCUAGUUUUACAAAGGUACCUGUUCCCUCGCGAUGGGUUGACACGCUUCCCGCCGCCCUUCCCGCCCACCGUUUGGCGUGUGUCUCCGAUCCGGCCGUUCCGACCGGAUGAUUUCCGGUCAAUGCUGCUUGAGGCAAAAACACUCCAACAGACGAUUACAAGCAUUAUGAUGAAUGAAACAAUACUAUCAGGCAAAAGAAAGGAACAGUAGGCCCAUAAUAUAAUAUGCAAGAUGAUCUAGAAUUGACUUGGAAAAUGGUUUUAUUUAUCAAAUGUUAUAGAGCUUACCAAAGGCUACUUGAUUUGGCGUCGACAGAAAUUGUGCAAUCAUCAUAAGAUAAGGACGGAAAACAAGAAAGAGACAAAAAAGAUGACAAUAGCUCUAAGCUAAAGUUAAAGUUUGCGUUGAUGGGUACCGCAAAGAGACAUGUUGAGAGAAGAUAAUUACAAUUAAACAAAAUAAAUAAACUAUUUGUAAAAAAAUAAUUUUAAGGAAAACAAAAUACUGUAAUAAUAAACUAGCGACCAGCGCGUUGUCUCUGUGGACCAACUUGCUAGUUUAUAUUACUAGUAAUUAUGCACGUGCGACACGCACGUGUUUUUUAAAAACAUCAUUAUACAAUUAAUUAUUAUGCUAGAAAGACUAAAUCAUUAGCUUUAAAGAGAUUUAGACUCCAUGAAUAUUCAUUCCUUAUUUCUUAACCAUGCAUAUAUCAGUAAAGGCGACAAUUAGAUCAAUUGUGUCCAUGGGCUUAAUUAAGAUAAAAAUAUUUUUUUUAUAUAUAUAAGCAAAUUAAGAACCUAUCUAACCAAUUUGCGACAUAAGGAAGAUCUAAUAAGAAUAGAAAAGAAAAUACCCAACCUAGUGCCGAAUAAAAGCUGACAGUGAGACCCUGGUGGAAUAUAAAUUUCAAUGAAAAGUAUUAAAAUAACAAGAGAAGGACUCACGUACAACUCUGAACUUUGGUUGGACUCGUUGAUUGCAAUGUGCUCUCUAGGGACGUUGCACCGUCCUCAUACAAGCUUUUUGGUGGCAAUGAUUGUUUAGCUAUGUGUGUUUGACGACAACAGUUGGUAUCUACAGCAAGCGAUUCGCCCGUCUAGAGGCUGGGCAGCGGUCGGUCAAACUUGUUGAAGCAAAAGCAAGCGUGUGAGAGGAAUUGAGGAAUUGAAGGUAGUGGGCACGGAGCGCCUCUGCGCGCUCACCGCAACUUGGCUGGACCGGAGAAUCUCCAGACGGCGCGUGCGUGCAGAACAAGAGCAAGCGCAAGGGACAAGGCUGUAUCGGAGGGACGUGUGCUUCACCAGCUCUUCCCCAUCGCCAUGGUCACCGGUCUCUACCUCGAGUCCAGUGAAUAUCACGAACCUUGUGACGCACAACGAGCUGCAUGGGCCGGUACGGUGCUGAUGAUCUUGAAGAGCCUUACAUACAAAAAGCAAUGCUUCUUAGCUUCUUGCUUGUAGGAUCUCUGGACCGGGUACAAGCCACUUUGGGACAGCCUCUCGGGGGUCUGCGAGGGGCUCGGCGACAUAGAUCGACGCGCGUCCAGCCUCUCAAACCGCGGCUGCCAUGGGAUCGGCGAAGGGAGCAUAGUCUCGUCGUGCCCCCAGCCAGCCGCCGAGUCCUAAAAACUCUGACCCAACUGCGCAUAUAUUGUCUCGUCAGCCCCCGUGCUGGCACACUAUGCCGCCUCCAGUGGACACGACGACGACCGGCUCCACGAGCUUCCGAUCUGUUCUUCUUUGUCGAUCCACAUGAGGACGUUUCGUGUUAUCAGCCUUUAUUUACUUUACUUCCAUAUAAUGUAUUCUACUUUACUUCCUUAUAUAUAUAUAUAUAUAUAUAUAUAUAUAUAUAUAUAUAUAUAUAUAUAUAUUCUACCUUAACUCUACCAUAUGCGGUGUAGAUGACACGGUCAAGUGCUAAUUGAGACCGAGAAGGAGUUGUGUGCUAUGUGUAAUAAGAUCUCAAAUGACGAAAGGCUCACAUAAGGUCUUGUUUAGUUCCCAAAAAUUUUUAAGAUUCCCUAUCACAUCGAAUCUUACGACAUAUGCAUGCUGCACUAAAUAUAUAUGAAAACAAAAUCUAAUUGCACAGUUCAUCUGUAAAUCGCGAGACGAAUCUUUUAAACCUAGUUACACCAUAAUUAGACAAUGUUUGUCAAAUAAAAACGAAAGUGUUACAGUGUCGUUUUCCAAAAGUUUUUGUCAACUGAACAAGGGCUAAAACGGUGUCAAGAUCAAACGGUCCUUUUUGGAGUCUAGAAGAAAUUGUUGUUGUUGUUGUUGUUGUUGUUGUUGUUGUUGUUGUUGUUGUUGUUGUUGUUGUUGUUGUUGUUGUUGUUGUUGUUGUUGUUGUUGUUGUUGUUGUUAUUGUUAUUAUUAUUAUUAUUAUUAUUAUUAUUAUUAUUAUUAUUAUUAUUAUUAUUAUUAUUAUUAUUAUUAUUAUUAUUAUUAUUAUUAUUAUUAUUAUUAUGAAGUGCACACAUGCACGAGGAGGUUCUAUCUUGAAAGAUCAAAUUUUUUUUUCUUCACGUGUUGACGUGGGAAUAGAGGGAGUCGUGGAGUCCUGACACAAGAAUAGAGGAUCAUAGAGUCCAUUUAGGAUUGUAUGUGCGUGAUGUGAGAUUGAGUUGUAGAUGUUUAUAUUUUAUACGUAUAAGAUGUAAGAUCACGUAUGAUGAAAGGCUCAUAUAACACGAAAUUCAGAUCGAACGGUUAUUAGAGAGAGAGCCUCUCUCAAAAAACUCGCUCUUUUAUAGUGUGAUGAUGAUGAUGAUGAUGAUGAUGAUGAUGAUGAUGAUAAUGAUUAUUAGUUUUUUUUAGAGAAGUUUACAUUAUUUUCUGUACCUAAAUAUAGGAGAACCCCAAUAGUAUAUUUUCGUGCGAUUUCAUGAAACCUCGUCAUCAAAGAGUCCCACAACUCGCUAACUUCACGUAGUUGCAGCCCACCCCAAUCGUCUCCUCACCUAUCUAUUGCUUGGCCACCUCUCAGGUGUCUCUCCGUUAGUCCGUUUCGUAUCCGGCCUCCAGAUGGCAAUGGGGACCUGAUCCCCGAUUUUUCGUAGGGAAUUCCCCUAUUAGGGGACGGGGAUGGGGAGAUUUUAAGCCCCACGAGGAAGAAAACGGGGGAAAUCAAUUCCCGUCGGACCUGGCGGGGACGGGGAUGGUUCACCAUCCCCCGUACCCGAUCCCCGCAUCCCCGCCCUGUUAAGGAGUAUAGUCCGUAUGUGAACUGUAACAAGUUGGAAUUUAGCCUAAAAUUGGCCCAAGCCCAUCAAGCAUAUGGAGUAUAUAAGCAAAGUCUAACCCUAGUUCCCAGUAUCCCCACUCAGCCAUCCCUCCCACAGUCGCCGCAUUCAGCAAUUCACGCAUCCACGCCAGGCGCGGACACAUCGUCCCCAGUUACCGAUAGCUGCUGGGCACAAUUUGCGCGAGGGCUCUGCCUAGUGCCAUGGUGCUGCAGCGCCUCCUGCGGUACUGCUGAUACGUGAUGCUCGGCUUGCGCAGGCUCAGCUCGUCCAUCCCGCAUCAGGCAUCACCCCUAAUCUGCAGUCGCCAUCACCAUGCAUGCAAUGAAGAGCAGAGGAGGACAUGCGCCACCGGUCGGCAUGACUGCGUGCAUUCGGUCGGUCUCUGCCCAGGGACGCUGCCCAAUCAAUCUCUGCUUUCUCUCCUCAGUCUGGAUACUCGAGUUUUCUCUGCUCGCUCAAUGUGCUGAAGUCAAAUCAUCAUUCAUUUGUCAUUUAUGAGAUCUAGGGAGUUAUAAGGUGAGAUCUGUAAAAGGGACUUGUAAUUCGUAAAGUAUUUUAUAAUCUCGUUUGGUUGUAAGAUGAGUUUUUUCUAGUAUUUUUCAGUUUUGGAUUGUUGAUUUAGUUGAUUUUUUUAUCUCAUCGUGAGGACGGGGACGGGGAUCCCCGUCGGGUAUGUAUUCUCCGCGGGGACG
rnacentral:lncRNA from 1 species